AAAAUUUCAACGAGAAGGUGGUCUGCUAAUCUUGUUUUCUUGCUUAUUUCUUCAGGUUUUCACUGGCAAUUUGUUGAUGCAUUUACAGAUACAAUCUUACAAGGUCAAUCACUCACAACCUCUCAGACCAUCGUAUCCGCUGGUGGUAACUUUGAAUUAGGUUUCUUUUCUCCUGGAAAGUCCACAAAAUACUAUGUGGGGAUAUGGUACAAGAAAAUCUCAGAGCAAACCAUUGUGUGGGUAGCUAACCGAGACUAUUCAUUCACAAAUCCAUCCGUGGUUCUUACUGUCAGCACAGAUGGCAACCUCGAGAUUUUGGAGGGGAAGAUUUCGUACAAGGUGACAAGCAUAUCAUCAAACAGCAACACUAGUGCCACCCUGUUGGAUUCUGGAAAUCUUGUUUUGAGAAAUAAGAAGUCAGAUGUCUUAUGGGAGAGCUUUGACUAUCCAUCGGACACGCUCCUGCCCGGAAUGAAACUUGGAUAUGACAAAAGGGCUGGAAAAAGAUGGUCAUUGGUAUCAUGGAAGAGUAGAGAAGAUCCCAGUCCAGGAGCUUUCUCCAUAGAACAUGACGCGAAUGAAAGUAGCCAGAUUUUUAACCUGCAAGGACCCAAAAUGUAUUGGACUACUGGGGUGUGGGAUGGACAGAUUUUCAGCCAGGUUCCAGAGAUGCGUUUCUUCUACAUGUAUAAGCAAAAUGUAUCCUUUAAUGAGAAUGAAAGCUAUUUUUCUUACUCUCUUCAUAAUCCCUCCAUUCUGAGCAGAGUGGUGCUAGAUGUGUCAGGCCAGGUUAAGCGUCUGAAUUGUCAUGAAGGCGCACAUGAAUGGGAUUUAUUUUGGCUUCAACCAAAAACACAGUGUGAGGUUUAUGCUUACUGUGGGCCUUUCGGAACCUGCACUGGGGAUUCUGUUGAAUUUUGUGAAUGCUUGCCAGGUUUUGAACCUCUCUUCCCUGAAGACUGGAAUCUGCAAGACAGAUCUGGAGGGUGUGUGAGGAAAGCAGAUUUGCAGUGUGUCAAUGAAAGCCAUGCUAAUGGGGAGCGAGACCAGUUUCUUUUGGUGUCUAACGUGAGACUGCCCAAGUAUCCAGUAACACUGCAAGCAAGGAGUGCUAUGGAGUGCGAAUCAAUUUGCCUGAAUCGCUGCUCUUGCUCUGCUUAUGCUUAUGAGGGAGAGUGUAGAAUAUGGGGUGGAGAUCUUGUAAACGUGGAGCAGCUACCAGAUGGUGAAAGUAAUGCUAGAAGUUUCUAUAUCAAACUUGCUGCCUCUGAGCUAAAUAAGAGAGGUAAGAAAAAAGAGUCAUAGUUGUUAUUGUAGGAGGACAUAAAGCAUAUGGGUCUUGUUUUAUUUUCAAAAUAAAAUGGCCAUCGAUUCAGCUAAAUUUAAUAUGAUAUAUUUCCUUCUACAGUUUCAAGCAGCAAGUGGAAGGUAUGGCUAAUUAUUACACUGGCCAUAUCUUUAACUUCAGCCUUUGUCAUUUAUGGGAUAUGGGGAAGGUUCCGAAGAAAAGGUCAGUAUUUCUCAAGGACAGACGGAUGGCCAAGCGAUUCAACCGUUUUUAGGUUCCAUCUACAAAUAAAAAACCAGUUCUUUUCUGAAAUGAGUUCAUUAGCACUGUUAUUGAAUGGUUAAGGUAACAUUAGGAUUUCAUGUUCUGAUUACAUGUGAGUGUGUAUGUGGAAUCCAAUGUGAGAAAUAAUUUAUUCCCAUGCCAGAAUUCCUACAUUCAUAUGAUAUUUAUUGUCUGUUUGUUCUUUACCAAGCAGGGGAAGAUUUGUUAGUAUUUGAUUUCGGUAACAGCUCAGAAGAUACCAGCUAUGAACUUGGCGAGACAAAUAGACUUUGGAGGGGCGAGAAGAAGGAAGUUGAUUUGCCCAUGUUCAGUUUUGCGAGUGUAUCUGCUUCUACAAAUAACUUCUCUAUUGAAAAUAAACUAGGAGAGGGCGGUUUUGGAUCUGUUUACAAGGUGAGAUUACAACCCUUGACAAUAAUGUUCUACAAUUUGUCCUGGAGUGUGAAGGCCCACUUGAUAUAUACCAAAUUUCUUUUACUUGGUGUAAUUGUAGUCACAUGAAAUUCCCAUGACAGGGAAAGUUACAAAGAGGAUAUGAGGUAGCUGUGAAAAGGCUCUCAAAAAGAUCUAAACAGGGAUGGGAGGAGUUAAAAAAUGAAGCCAUGCUUAUAGCCAAGCUGCAACACAAGAAUCUUGUGAAAGUUUUGGGAUACUGCAUCGAGCGGGAUGAGAAGAUAUUGAUUUAUGAGUAUAUGUCCAACAAAAGCUUGGAUUUCUUCCUCUUUGGUUUGUAACUUCCACAUAGAUAUGCUUCCAGCUACUGUAUAUUCAAUGAGAACUUUACACAUUCAUCAUUCUUCACCACUUAUUUGCUAACAUCUAUUUAUUUGGUGUGAAAUGGAAAUAGAUCCUGCAAAACGUGGGAUUCUGAAUUGGGAGAUGCGAGUUCGCAUCAUUGAAGGGGUUGCUCAGGGACUUCUUUAUCUCCAUCAGUACUCCAGAUUGAGAGUUAUUCAUCGAGAUUUGAAGGCUAGCAACAUUCUUCUGGAUAAAGACAUGAACCCAAAAAUAUCAGAUUUUGGAAUGGCAAGAAUUUUUGGAGGAAAUGAAUCAAAAGCAACAAAACAUAUAGUUGGGACUUAGUAAGUGAAUCCUAACGCAUUGUAAAAUAUGUGGAUUGUCUCACAACAUGCUUUUUUUCUACAUGUAUAUUUGUAAUCAUGCAAUUACUAAAUGAAUUGUUUUAAUAAUGAAUCCAGUGGCUACAUGUCCCCCGAGUAUGUUUUGCGAGGUCUCUUUUCAACUAAAUCUGAUGUUUUUAGCUUCGGGGUCUUGUUACUAGAGAUUCUAAGUGGCAAGAAGAUUACUGAAUUUUAUCAUAGUGGCUCGCUCAAUCUUCUUGGAUAUGUAAGUAACACAAUUUUCCUCUUAUGUAGCUAAAGUUAUCAUGUUUACUACUAUAUUUCAAGCUUGAAGUUACACACUUGAAUGCAAUUGACCGAAUUAGGACUAUAUAUCUUUUUUUCUUUUUUCGGGAAUGUGCAUCAAAGUAUAAUUUUCUUUCCUUUAGGCAUGGGAUCUGUGGAAAAACAACAAAGGACAGGAGUUGAUUGAUCCAGUAUUGAAUGAGAUAUCUUUGAGACAUAUUAUGUUAAGGUACAUCAAUGUAGCCCUUCUUUGUGUUCAAGAAAGUGCAGAUGAUAGGCCCACCAUGUUCGAUGUUGUCUCCAUGCUUGUCAAGGAAAAUGUACUUUUAUCUUCUCCAAAUGAGCCAGCCUUCUCAAAUCUAUCGAGUAUGAAACCACAUGCAUCUCAAGAUAGGCUUGAAAUUUGUUCCUUAAAUGAUGUAACACUUUCAAGCAUGGGAGCACGAUAAGUUUUCUAAAUUUCAGAUUGCAUAUGCUUAAAUGUCUUCAGCAUAUUGUCUAGUAUUAUUAUUGGCCAUCAAGUUGAUUGUUGAUGUACUGAACGUGUGAACUUUUGUAUGUAUUUUUCUUUCAAUGCAGUUCAAUAAUGUGCUUAAUUUUACUCAAUCCUCAAGGAUUCAGACCUGUAUCUCAUCUUCCCAUCUGUAAUUGCUACUGAAUCUGUUGGUUUUGAAACUAGAUAAUUAAAAGAAAAACGGAAGCCAGAAAAUUUUUCUCAAAAUUUAAUGAAAUAACAAAUAUAGGUAAUUUAGAAUUGUACCUUGCGAUUAGGCUGAUAAAUUUGAACUCCACCUAAAGGAUCUUAGAAUUCCAAAUCCUCUAAAGCACCAUGGAUCUUUCUCUAACGUUCUCCAAAAAAUGAUGAACUCAAAACGAGUGGGCGUUUAUUAUCUUUGGGUUUUUUUUUAUAUCACACAACUUAAUAUAUUGAAAACUUGUAUUCUCACCCAUCAUCCGAAAAACAUUGAGAAAAAAAAAACUUUUUAAUACCACGAAGAAAAAAAUGACAUAUUUUGAAUUUUGAAAAACAUGGGAGAGAAUAUCUCUCCCCAUGAUCCCCACUUAAAAAGUGUUUCUUUGAAUUUUGAAAAACAUGGGAGAGAAUAUCUCUCCCCAUGAUCCUCACUUAAAAAGUGUUUCUUAGGGAAUACAAGUAAGUGUGGUCUUCACUACAUUGUAUCAAAAAUUAUUUUAAAUAAUCAAAUUAUAAAAUAAAUAAAUCAAAUCAAGAUUGUGUGAAAUUAAUUUAGAAUUCAAAAUUCCAAACUAAUAAAAUCAACCCAACAUAAAAAAAAAUGUUCAUAUAAUUUUAAUGGAGCCGUUGAGAGGAACUAUGGACAUUAUAAUUUUAAGCUCCAAUAAUUUUGACAAUUAAUUAACAACUUAAUUAAAAAAUCAAAAUUAUUAAUUCCAAAAUUACUCCACUAAAAAUUUGGAAUUGCACUCUUAAAAUUAUAAAAUUAAAUAUAUUCAAAGGAUUUGAAUUGCCCAUUAAUAUAGUUACUACAUAUGAGUCAAUCCUCCAUAAACGGUUCAUAAUUAAAGCUAGGUUUUUCCGUUAACCUCUUUAAUUAUAUCUUUCUCCUUAAGUGCCAUUGGUUCUCUAAUGAAUAAUAUAUUUAUGGUCUAAUCAUAAAUUGAGCGCUCUUAUCAUUCAAGGCCCGAACCAAUACUUAUGGUAACCGUCCAUCUGACUUCUUAACGAAGGAAUGAAUUUCAUCUUGUAUAUUAAUAUUCCCGGCUAUUUAUUUUAUUAUACUUCCAAUACACCAAUAAUUUGACACUAUGUAUUUGUGUCAUUACCCGAUAUGUAAAAAAAUACAAUACAAUAAAUAGGAGUCUAUUAAUCACUCAGAAUUAAGAUCAAUGCAUAUAUGACCAUCAUUGAUUAAUAUUGAAUGCUCUAUAUUAUAACGGAAUUUAUUAGAGAUUCAUAAUUAAUCGUGUUCCAGUCCUAUAUAAUCAAAUUAUAUAAAACGCUUUCAUUCCAAUAAUCUCAUUAUUAACAAUCCGGAUAAGAUCAUUUCAUUCAUAAUGUAAUGAACCACGCUAGUAAUUUUAAAUUAAAGAUCCCAACUUUAAUUUUUAAUUACGAACAUAUUAGAUUAUUUUACUUUAAAUGUUAUCCUCCUGUAUAUAACACUUAUAUACAAUAUUUAAAGUUACAAUUAAAUAAUCUAGGGUUUUCGAUAUUUAUAAAGCAUCUAUAACAUGCAUGCAACAAUAAUAUUGAAAUAAUUCCUUAAAAAAAUAUUAAUAAUCAGCAAAAUAAAAAACAUCUCAUUUGUUUAUGGGCACAUAUUCCAACAAAAUCUGCUUUUAUGCAUUGCCAAUCCAGACACUAAAAUACAACCCUCAGAGCUUACUGCAAAUAUUCAACUAGUACUAGGAAAGACGAGCUUUUGCGCAUGAUAUAGCUAAGCAUAAGUACUAAUUAACAUAUAGGCAAGAGGGAAAGUGAGGAAGGAAAGCAGAUAUAGAUUUUUUUGCCUUUUAAACUGUGAUAGCAUCUAGCAUUUUUUUUAAGAGAAGAAAUAGUAUAAUUUAAUUGAGUACUCGUAAAACCUUCUUUUCUUAUUGGACAUGGUUUCAAUAAAACCCAUUUGGUUGCCAAGAAAUCUGAGGAAAUUCCCUUAAUUCUAAGGGUUCAAGAACAAGCCGAGUCCAGCACGACUCGGCCGAGUCGUAUAAACUCAUACUCAAUCAGGAAUCGCUUAAACUCGGUUAACUCAACGGAGAUUCCGAGUUGACUCGGUUGAACCGUUUGUGUUAACAAAAGAAAUCGUUUUUUCACUUUCGAAUCACAGCAGAGGAACAACAAACGAGAUGUAAACCUAAAAAACCUCUCAAAAAUCAAAGAUUGUCUUCAAAAGGAAAAGCUUCUCAACAACCAUGAUGAAGAGGAAGAAAGGCAUCAGUCUAAACCAUGACCGAGUCUUGGAGGUGCACAAGAAGAAGAGGUUGAGGUAUUACUAACUUCAGAACGAUCAUGGAUGUGGAGCGCCUUCGAUGGUCCCGGUGUGGUAACUGGUGUGAUGAGAAGAUUCCCUCCAUUGACGUGAGCGGCCAUCGCUGCAUCUGGUCUCUCCUCUCUCUAAUUUUGGUCUCAGUUCUCGCCUGCUUCUGUCUGCCUUCCUCCCUCUCUCUCUCUCUCUCUCUUUCUCCCUAGUACGGGUGAGUUAGUGAUUUGAAGAAAGGGUGGCAAUCGGUGCCAGAAAAUUGGGGAUUUGAAGACAGGGUGGUCAAUGUUUUAAUAUCACAAUUAUUUAUAAUUGUAUAUGUUAAUAUUAGGUAAUAUAUUAUCAAAUUUUAUAGUCUUUGUUUUUUUUAUGAUAAUAAUUUAUUAUUUUAUAUAUUAAUGGUGUGAUAUAAAUUAUAUUAGCUUAAGUAAAGUAUUAUUUUAUAUGGCAAUGAUAGCAUAUUUGAUGUAUUAAUUUAUUAUUAACAAUAUAUUCAAGUCAUUUAAUAUAUUAUUAUAUUAACAUAUUAAAAUCAUUUAAUUAAUAAUAUAUACUUUGUUUAAUAAAUAUAAUUUUAUAUUAUAUUUAAACAUAAAGUGUUGUAAUCAUUUAAUCAAAAUUAAAAAUAAAAUUAAUGAUUGAAUUAUAUGUCUUUUAGUAAAAAUAUCAUUAUAGUUGAAAUAAAAUAAUUUUCAAUUCCUAACAUUAUCAUAAAUUGUUUUUGUGGAGACUUUAUAACUAUUUAAAUAAUAUUAAAUGUGAAAAAAUUUAUUUUAUAAUUUUUAAGCUUAUUUAAUUAUAUUUGUUUUUGUAAAAAAUUUCAAAAUUUUUUUCUAAUUUAAAAAUUUUUUAGUUAUCUUAUUUUGCAUACCACUUGAUACCAAAUCGAGAUGUUGAGACCGUUAUGCCUUGGGACCCUCCAAAUUAAUGAUUGAUAUCGUCACUUCAAUUAUAUGAAUAUAAAAAAUAAAUAUGUAAAGAAAUACCAUAAGACAUAAUAAUAGUAUUUUAAAAUAUUUUUAGCAUAUUGAUAUAAAUAUAUAUAUAUAUAUAUAAUUAUUUAAUAGUUAUUACUUAUAUUUAAUGGUUUAAAAUAUUUUUUAGUUUUUAAUUAGUAUAUUUUUUGUAUCAAUCAAUAUCGCUUUGACAUCUUAGAUUUAAAUAAUGAAAAUAGUAUCAAUUUUUCAAAAAAAAAGAAAGAAAAAGGAAAUGAUCUUUUAAGGUUAAAGUAUUAAUCUUUAGGUUUAGAUGUUCCCAAACCUUCAAUUCUAAGUGUUGAAGACGACUUCGAAGUUGUUGGAAGUCUUGUAAAUCUACGAUUUUCUAUCUGAUGAUUUGAACCUUGAUCUUAAUGCACUUUUAGUGGAGAUCGAUGGAAGAAAGGGUGGAAACUAUGAGUCUUUCUCUUUGAAGGUGGAAGAUGACUUUCUACAAAAAGUUAUGGAAACUUUAACCCCAAGAUCGAUGUACCUUAAAACCUUUCAAGUCAAUGACCCAUACCGUAACUUUCAACCAUAAGAUGGACACUAAAAAAAAAAAGAAUUAGAGUUGGAUUUGAACACAAACAUCUUUCAAAGAAGAGAAUGUACCUAUCAUUAUGGAAAAUUAUUAUUAAAUUUGGGUGGCAAAAUAUAUCUCCUAUAUUUUAACCCCUACCAUAAGUGACUUUGUGUAAGCGUAAAAAGAAGAACUAUAGAAAAGAUGCCUUAGGUAUUUGCUGAUUAUGAACUAUAUCUAGUAAAAGAUCAUACACGAUGUCCGAAAAACUAUAGAAGAAGAUAAAUCUUGAAGGGAAGAUCAAUGGAAAUGGGUCUAUGACUCGCCACUCCAUGAUUUAUGGGCUGCUUAAACUCUGAUGAUGGGUUAUGGGUAGCAUGAAAAUUUCAGCCAGAGGGUGGUCUGUCAAUCUUGCUUGUUUCUUCAUGUUUUCACUUGGAAUUUGCUAAUGCAUUUAUAGACACAAUCUUACAAGGUCAGUCAAUCACAACUUCUCAAACCAUCGUAUCUGUUGGUGGUGACUUUGAAUUAGGAUUCUUUUCUCUUGGAAACUCCACAAAAUACUAUGUGGGGAUAUGGUACAAGAAAGUGUCAGAGCAAACCAUUGUGUGGGUAGCUAACCGAGGUUAUUCAUUCACAAAUCUAUAUGUGGUUCUUACUAUUAUCCCAGAUGGUAACCUCGAGAUUUGGGAAGGGAAAAUUUCAUACAAGGUGACAAACGUAUCAUUAAAUAGAAACACCGGUGCCACCCUGUUGGAUUCAGGAAAUUUUGUUUUGAGAAAUGAGAAGUCGAAUAUCUUAUGGUAGAGCUUUGACUAUCUAUUGGACAUGAUCUUGCCCAGAAUGAACAUUGGAUAUGACAGAAGGGCUGGAAAAACAUGGUCAUUGGUGUCAUGGAAGAGCACAGAAGAUCCUAGUCCAGGAGUUUUUAUUAGAGAAUUCAUUAUAAUAGAUUUUCUUAUUAGCUUUUUUCCUAUAAUGUGUGGCCAUAUACAAUUAUAUUUGUAUGAAUAUUAUUUAAGGGUAUCAAUUGAUCGGUAGGUGAAUCAAUUGAUUGGGUAUCUAAGAGUCUUAUGUAUGGAAGACUCAAAUUUAUAAAUAGGGAGUUAGAAAAUUUAACUCAUAUGAAUGUGGUGUUACAACUUUUGUAACCCCAUCAUUAUGAAAUUUAUUUGUACAUUAUGUUUAUGAGUAAUAGAGGAAAAUGGAAAAGUAUAACCUAUGCAAUUAUAUAGAUGCAUUCAAGUUCAUACCCCACCAUUACCCAUUAAUUUGUACAUAAUGGGUGUAAAUAAUGAGUAUAACUCCCAUAUAGUCUUUGAUGGGAAGACUAAGAGAUGUAUAAUUUUUUUUAUAAAUUGAGGUCCUAAGCCACACUCUCAUUCUUAUGUCUUUUUGUUGGUUUAUUUUUAACAACAUACACCACACAAGUGACCCAUCCACUAUAUGAGAGUAGUGAGUCGAAGACCUUGCCAAUCCAAUUCACAAGGUAACUCAAUCUCACUUCAAAAGUGUUAUUGAUAUCAUGAAUCAAGGUAAGAAUAUGAUCAUUAUUUGAAUACUUAUAUAUAUAUAUUUUUUUUAUGCAUCCAAAAUGGUUUUAUAAAAUAAUAAUUUCCACAUAAAGUUUAUAAAAGUUUGGUUGACAUUUCUUUCUAUUUUUAAAUUCUUCUAAUUAGUUGUAAUUUCCUAUUUUUUUUUGUAAUAUCCUAAUUUUAGGAUUGUUUCUUAUUUUUGUAUUUUGGGUAGAUUGUUUCCUAUUUUUGUGUUUUAGGUUUUGUGUAUAUAUAUUCAUUCUUAAUCAAUGGAAAAGUCAAGCCAUUGUUUCUCAAUAAUCUUCUACUUCAACAUGGUAUCAAGAGCCUAAUUUUCUUUGGUGUAUUUUCUUCCUUUUUUUUUUCCCUUUUCCUUAAUGGCUUCCAGUGCAUCCUUCUCUUCCACCAACAAUCCUAUCACCAUCCAAAACUCUCAAGAUCCUCAAAAUCCUCUCCUUACAAUCAAUCUCUCCAAUAUCACCAAAUUGUCAUCCAUCAAUUAUCUCACAGGGAGCCUUCAAAUCCAAUCCUUCUUGAAGGUUAUAAUCUUCAUCACUUCAUUGAUGGCGCUCAUACUCCACCACCACCCACCGUCACCGUCACCAUCACUUGUGUUGCAUCCCCAAAUCUAGUAUACACAACCUGGAAGCGUCAGGAUCGUCUCAUCUUUAACGCUCUCCUUGGUGCUAUCUUCGUUUCACUACAACCGCUUAUUGUCUGCACCACCACUUCCCUUGAUGCAUGGCAAACCUUAGUUAAUACCUAUGCCAAACCCUUGAUAAUUUUCUCUCCACCAAUGGUAUAUCCCAUCUUACUACACCACAUACACCUGGACACAAUGGCCUUUCCGAAUGACGUCAUUGUCAUAUUGUUGAAACCGGUCUAUUUCUUCUCACUUAUGCAUCGAUAUCUCUAACUUAUUGGACUUACGCCUUUGCCACUAUUGUAUAUCUCAUCAACUGUAUGCCCACACCCACACUAUAUCUCUCAUCUCCUUUUGACCAACUCUUUGAGUCUCCACCCAACUACACUAAACUUUGGGUGUUUGGUUGCUUAUGUUAUUCGUGGCUUUGUCCUUAUUCUCAACAUAAACUUAACUCUCGUUUCACUUCUUGUGUUUUUCUUGGUUACUCUUCCUACACCACCUAUUAUAUAUUGUGACAAUGUUGGUGCCACCUAUCUCUAUUCUAAUCUAGUCUUUCAUUCGCGCAUGAAACAUGUGGCAAUUGACUAUCACUUUAUUCGGGAUCAAGUUCAAUUAUGUGUUCUUCGUGUUACUCAUGUUUCCUCAACAGAUCAACUUGUCGACGCUCUUACUCAACCGCUUCCACAAAGCUUCUUCCAAGAAUUACGGGUCAAGAUUGGCGUCUCCUCCAGAGCUCUAUCUUGAGGGGGCAUAUUAGAGAAUUUAUUACAAUAGAUUUUCUUUCUAUUUUUAAAUUCUUCUAAUUAGUUGUAAUUUCCUAUUUUUGUUGUAAUCCCCUAAUUUUAGGAUUGUUUCCUAUCUUUGUGUUUUGGGCUAAUUCUAGGAUUGUUUCUUAUUUUUGUGUUUUGAGUAGAUUGUUUCUUAUUUUUGUUGGAAUAUGUGCCCAUAAACAAAUGAGAUGUUUUUUAUUUUGCUGAUUAUUAAUAUUUUUUAAGGAAUUAUUUCAAUAUUAUUGUUGCAUGCAUGUUAUAGAUGCUUUAUAAAUAUCGAAAACCCUAGAUUAUUUAAUUGAAACUUUAAAUAUUGUAUAUAAGUGUUAUAUACAAGAGGAUAAUAUUUAAAGUAAAAUAAUCUAAUAUGUUCGUAAUUAAAAAUUAAAGUUGGGAUCUUUAAUUUAAAAUUACUAGCGCGGUUCAUUACAUUCUGAAUGAAAUGAUCUUAUCCGGAUUGUUAAUAAUGAGAUUAUUGGAAUGAAAGCGCUUUAUAUAAUUUGAUUAUAUAGGACUGGAACACGAUUAAUUAUGAAUCUCUGAUAAAUUCCGUUAUAAUAUAGAGCAUUCAAUAUUAAUCAAUGAUGGUCAUAUAUGCAUUGAUCUUAAUUCUGAGUGAUUAAUAGACUCCUAUUUAUUCUAUUGUAUUUUUUGACAUACCGGGUAAUGACACAAAUACAUAGUGUCAAAUUCUUGGUGUAUUGGAAGUAUAAUAAAAUAAAUAGCCGGGAAUAUUAAUAUACAAGAUGAAAUCCAUUCCUUCGUUAAGAAGUCAGAUGGACAGUUCCCAUAAGUAUUGGUUCGGGCCUUGAAUGAUAAGAACGCUCAAUUUAUGAUUAGACCAUAAAUAUAUUAUUCAUUAGAGAACCAAUGGCACUUAAGGAGAAAGAUAUAAUUAAAGAGGUUAACGGAAAAACCUAGCUUUAAUUAUGAACCGUUUAUGGAGGAUUGACUCAUAUGUAGUGACUAUAUCAAUGGGCAAUUCAAAUCCUUUGAAUAUAUUUAAUUUUAUAAUUUUAAGAGUGCAAUUCCAAAUUUUUAGUGGAGUAAUUUUGGAAUUAAUAAUUUUGAUUUUUUAAUUAAGUUGUUAAUUAAUUGUCAAAAUUAUUGGAGCUUAAAAUUAUAAUGUCCAUAGUUCCUCUCAACGGCUCCAUUAAAAUUAUAUGAACAUUUUUUUAUGUUGGGUUGAUUUUAUUAGUUUGGAAUUUUAAAUUCUAAAUUAAUUUCACACAAUCUUGAUUUGAUUUAUUUAUUUUAUAAUUUGAUUAUUUAAAAUAUUUUUUGAUACAAUGUGGUGAAGACCACACUUACUUGUAUUCCCUAAGAAACACCUUUUGAGUGGGGAUCAUGGGGAGAGAUAUUCUCUCCCAUGUUUUUCAAAAUUCAAAGAAACACUUUUUAAGUGGGGAUCAUGGGGAGAGAUAUUCUCUCCCAUGUUUUUCAAAAUUCAAAACAUGUCAGUUAUUUUUUUUUUCUUCGUGGUAUUAAAAUUUUUUUUUUCUCAAUGUUUCUCGGAUGAUGGGAUGAGAAUACAAGUUUUCAAUAUAUAUUAAGUUGUGUGAGAAAAAAAAACAGAAGAAUGAAAAACGCCCACUCGUUUUGAGUUCAUCAUAAUUUGGAGAACGUUAGAGAAAGAUCCAUGGUGCUUUAGAGGAUUUGGAAUUCUAAGAUCCUUUUGGUGAAGUUCAAAUUUAUUAGCCUAAUCGCAAGGUACAAUUCUAAUUUACCUAUAUUUGUUAUUUCAUUAAAUUAAUACAAGUAUUGAUCAUUGAGAAAAAAUUUUGAGAAAAUUUUUUUGGUUUCCGUUUUUUUCUUUUAUUUAUCUGGUUUCAAAACCAACAAUUGGUAUCAGAGCAGGUUGAUACUCUGUAUUAAUUUAAUGAAUGAUUAUUUGAUAAUCUUUGCAUGGCUUUCGGUAGGCACUUUUGCAUAUUGAUGUUUGUUUAUUUUUAUGUUCAUGGUGAUGAAUGUUUGUGGGAAUGGAUUGGCCGUUUUUUUAUUGGUUCCAUGGAUUUUGUUAUUUUUGUAAUAAUUAUUUUAUUAGAUCUUUUGUAAAUAGGAUUCUUGCUGUAAUUCCUAUUUUAUAAGAUUUUUUGUAAAUAGGUUUACUGUUGUAAUUAUAAAUCGGUUUUGGGUUGAAUUUUAUUGAAUUUGAGAAAUUCAAUGGAGACAACCACAAUUCAAGGAAAUUUGAAUAUUAUUGAAUUUGAGAAAUUCAAUGGAGACAACCACAAUUCAAGGAAAUUUGAAUUUUAUUGAAUUUGAGAAAUUCAAUGGAGACCACCACUUUUCAAGGAGAAGAUGAAGAUGUAAAUUUACAGGAAGACCCAGUUUUAUUAUUUGUAUUUUUUUUAUUUGGGUUGUAUUUAACGUCCAUGGAACCCGACCAUUUCCAUUUUUAUAUUUAUAAAGUUGAUGAUUACUUUGUCCUGCAAGGGGUGGAGCCAGGGGAUUCAAACCCAUGAAGGAUGGGUAUUCCUUGCUAGUACCACCAGGCUAUGGCUUCUGGCUGGUUAUUUAUAUGAAGAAGGUUUAUUUCACGUUGCCCCUAAACUUUAUCCCUGGCUCCACCACAACCCUUGUUUUAGCAUGUCAUUUUAGUUAGAAAAGUGCCUACCUAUUUUUGCAUGUCAUGCAUUCAUGCGUUUAUUUUUAUUUUAUUUUAUAUAAUGUCACAGAUGACUUAAUUUAUAAUUUUAAAUUGUUUAAAAUAUAAAGGCUUAGUAAUUUAAAAUGUUUAAAUUGUCUAAGGUUUAUGAAACAAUAGUUGUUUUAUAAAUUAAAUACACCUUUUGCAAUAUAAUGAGUGGGAGCGGGUAAUAUUACAAUAUAAACCCUAGGUCUCCACCAUUAAUACAACACUGUGAGUUUUUAGUAGCGCUUAGAGACGCUUUGAUUUCGUCCUCCCUACGGAAAGUGUCUACUAAUUUCAAUAACAAGGUUGUCUUCCAUGAGAUAGGAUUUUAAGAUGUAUUUUAGAAUUGACCUACCCUACGACGGCAAUUUCUAAAUUAAAUCUUAAAAAUCUGAUAUGGUGGGUUACACUCAUAAAGAUAUAAUUAAAUUGGUUAAUUAUUUUCUUGACCGAACUUAAAGGAAAUUAAUAAGUAUUAGAAAUAUGAGAUAUUUUGGAUAAUAUUUAUUAAUUGAGAAAGUCUCAUUUUAAUUAGCAGCUUUUUGACCUACCCUACGGCGGCACUUAGUUGUGGUAAUUAAAAUUCCUUAGGCUGUUAAAGUAUAAUUUUUGGUGUAUUUUAUCAUGAGCAUUCUUGCUUCAUAUUUACUUUGCCUUUAAUUUUCUUAUGAUAUUUAUGCAAUUAUUUAUUGAAAAUAUUUCUUAUUUUUGUUCAGCAAAUAUGUCAAACCCAAUUUUCUCACUUCUCGCCUCUCAAGUUUUAACUGGUGAAAACUUUGUAAAAUGGAAGAGCAACAUGAACACUCUUCUCAUUAAUGAGAACUACCACUUUGUCCUUAAGGAGGAUUGUCCUCCAGUGCCUCCAGCUAAUGCCUCCAAGGCUGUCUCAGAAGAGUAUAAUCGUUGGAUUAUUGCAAAUAACAAGACCCGCUGCUACUUGUUAGCAGCAAUGAAUGAAGUGCUUAGAACUAAGCACGAGGGCCUUGAAACUGCAAGAGAGAUUAUGGAAUCUCUACAGCAGAUGUUUGGACGCCCCUCUGAGCAGGCCCGCCACGAAGCUGUGAAAGCUGUUAUGAACAGUAAAAUGAAGAAUGGUUCUUCAGUUCGUGAGCAUGUCCUUAAAAUGAUUCAUCACUUUAAUGAGGCUGAAAUCAAUGGAGCUAAAAUUGAUGAAAAGACCCAGGUUGGCAUGAUCUUAGAGACACUUUCACCCUCUUUCCUCCAAUUCAGGACAAACUACAUCAUGAACCAUAAGAAAUGUAAUUUGACAGAACUCCUGAAUGAGCUGCAAUCUUAUGAGACCCUUAUAGAUGAUAAGGGAGGCAAGGCAAAUAUUGUUGAGGCUAAUGCAGUUGUGGGAAAGGCUUCUUCUUCAAAGAAUAAGAAGAAGAGAAAUGUGAGAAAUCAAAAGGACAAGAAGAAGAUCCAAAAGAAGAAAGGGAAGGCUGUUGAGCCUAAACCUAAGGGGAAAUGUUUCCAUUGCAAUCAAGACAGCCAUUGGAAAAGGAACUGUAAGAAGUACCUUGAUGAGCUGAAACAAAAGAAGAAACAAGGUAAAUUAGAUUUAUUAGUAAUGGAAACAUGCUUAGUUGAGAAUGAUUUCUCAAGCUGGAUUAUUGAUUCAGGAGCAUCUAACCAUGUUUGUAUUUCUUUGAAGAUGCUUGAGUCAUCUAAGGAUCUUGAAGAGGGAGCUUUCAUGAUGAGAGUUGGCAGUGGGGCAAGAGUUUCAGCGACAGCAGUUGGGACAGUACGACUGUCAUUUGCUAAUAAUAAAUAUUUGUUAUUGCACAAUGUUUAUUUUAUUCCGGAUUUCAAAUGGAAUUUGAUUUCGGUUUCAAAGUUACAUGAACAAUUUAUUUCCGUUUCUUUUGAUAUUGACUCUGUUUCAAUCUAUAAGAAUGGAAUGAAUAUUUGUUCAGGUUAUGUUGAUAAUGGUAUAUAUUNNNNNNNNNNNNNNNNNNNNNNNNNNNNNNNNNNNNNNNNNNNNNNNNNNNNNNNNNNNNNNNNNNNNNNNNNNNNNNNNNNNNNNNNNNNNNNNNNNNNNNNNNNNNNNNNNNNNNNNNNNNNNNNNNNAAAUGGAAUAUUAUCACAGCUCACGGCACCUGGGACACCUCAGCAAAAUGGUGUAGCCGAAAGAAGAAAUCGCACUUUGCUUGACAUGAUGAGAUCAAUGAUGAGCUAUUCUUCUCUGCCAACCUCAUUUUGGGGAUAUGCAUUACAAACGGCAGUAUAUAUUCUGAACAUAGUUCCAUCUAAGUCAAUCCCUAACACUCCCCUAGAGUUAUGGAAUGGUCGCAAACCUAGUUUGAGACAUAUUCGCAUAUGGGGGUGCCCUGCGCACGUGUUAAAGGGAAAGACUGGGAAACUAGAACCUCGCUCUGAGGUAUGCAUGUUUGUAGGAUAUCCUAAAGGAACAAGAGGAGGUAUGUUUUAUAGCGCUCAGGAUAACAAAGUAUUUGUGUCAACAAAUGCUACGUUUCUCGAGUAUAACUAUAUGGCAGAUUUUAAACCUAGAAGUAAAGUAGUUCUAGAAGAGUUGCUAGCUGAUGAGAUCAGCCCCAUGCCAACAACAGUUGUUGAACGACAAAGAAAAGAAACCACUGCUCAAGAUCUAACACCACCGCCACCACGACGUAGUGGGAGGGAAAUAAGAUUGCCCAUUCGCUAUCGUGAAAAUGGAGAAGCACAAGUUGCAGUCACUGAUGGCAGUGAUGAUGAUCCAUUGACAUUCAAAAUGGCGAUGGAUGAUGUUGAUCGAGAGAAAUGGUAGGAAGCCAUGAAACUCGAAAUAGAGUCUAUGUACUCAAAUUCAGUCUGGGAACUUGUAGAUCUACCAGAAGGCAUUAAGCCUAUUGGUUGCAAAUGGAUCUAUAAGAGAAAAAGAAGACCUAAUGGGAAAGUAGAGACUUUCAAGGCAAGGCUGGUGGCAAAGGGUUUUACCCAAAAGGAAUGAGUAGACUAUGAUGAUACUUUUUCACCAGUUGCCAUGCUAAAAUCCAUUAGGAUUCUCUUGUCCAUUGCUGCUUAUUAUGAUUAUGAGAUAUGGCAAAUGGACGUCAAGACAGCAUUUUUGAAUGGCCAUCUUGAAGAGACUAUUUAUAUGGUCCAACCAGAGGGUUUCGUGGUCAAAGACCAAGAGUAGAAAGUGUGCAAACUACAAAGGUCCAUUUAUGGACUUAAGCAAGCUUCUAGAUCUUGGAAUAUCAGAUUUAACGAAGCCAUAAAGUCUUAUGGUUUUGAACAAAAUCUGGGUGAACCUUGUGUCUAUAAGCAAAUAGGAGGAGAUAAAGUGGUUUUCUUAGUUCUUUAUGUGGAUGACAUUCUACUCAUUGGAAAUGAUGUAGAAUCUCUAUCCAAGGUAAAGAACUAGCUAGCCAGCCAAUUCCAAAUGAAGGAUUUGGGAGAGGCAAGCUACAUUCUUGGUAUCCAAAUGACUAGGGAUCGUAAGAAUAGGCUUCUGGCAUUGUCUCAGGCAGCAUACAUUGACAAGGUGCUUGUCAAGUUUGCAAUGGAGAACUCUAAGAAAGGGAAUUUGCCUUCUCGACAUGAAGUCCAUCUCUCUAAAGAGCAGUGUCCAAAAACACCACAAGAUGAGGAGAAAAUGAGACGAGUUCCCUACGCAUUAGCAGUUGGUAGUUUGAUGUAUGCAAUGUUGUGUACAAGACCUGACAUAUGCUUUGCAGUGGGAGUGGUUAGUCGAUACCAGUCAAACCCAGGAUUAGAUCACUGGGUAGCAGUCAAGCAUAUACUUAAAUAUCUGAGAAGGACAAGAAACUAUAUGUUGGUAUACUCUGGUAGGGAAUUGAUUCCUAUCGGAUAUACAGAUUCUGAUUUCCAAUCAGAUAGAGACUCUCGGAAGUCUACUUCUGGGGCCGUUUUCACUUUGGGAGGUGGAGCCAUUAUAUGGAGGAGUGUCAAGCAAACUUGUGUUGCUGAUUCAACCAUGGAGGCUGAAUAUGUAGCGGCUUGUGAAGCAGCUAAAGAAGCAGUCUGGCUUCGCGAAUUCUUGAAAGAACUGGAAGUUGUUCCAAAUAUGCAUGAGCCAAUUAGACUCUAUUGUGAUAAUAGUGGAGCAGUGGCUAAUGCCAAAGAACCCAGGAACCAUCGCAAAGGAAAACACAUAGAACGGAAAUUCCACCUGGUAAGAGAGACUGUCAGUAGAGGAGAUGUUUCAGUUGAAAAGAUCGCAUCUGCGAACAACAUAGCUGAUCCAUUCACUAAGACUUUACCAGCUCAGACUUUUGAGCAACAUCUUGAAGGGAUGGGACUUAGAGACAUGUCACAUUUGCUUUAGGGCAAGUGGGAGAUUGUUGGAAUAUGUGCCCAUAAACAAAUGAGAUGUUUUUUAUUUUGCUGAUUAUUAAUAUUUUUUAAGGAAUUAUUUCAAUAUUAUUGUUGCAUGCAUGUUAUAGAUGCUUUAUAAAUAUCGAAAACCCUAGAUUAUUUAAUUGAAACUUUAAAUAUUGUAUAUAAGUGUUAUAUACAAGAGGAUAAUAUUUAAAAUAAAAUAAUCUAAUAUGUUCGUAAUUAAAAAUUAAAGUUGGAAUCUUUAAUUUAAAAUUACUAGCGCGGUUCAUUACAUUCUGAAUGAAAUGAUCUUAUCCGGAUUGUUAAUAAUGAGAUUAUUGGAAUGAAAGCGCUUUAUAUAAUUUGAUUAUAUAGGACUGGAACACGAUUAAUUAUGAAUCUCUGAUAAAUUCCGUUAUAAUAUAGAGCAUUCAAUAUUAAUCAAUGAUGGUCAUAUAUGCAUUGAUCUUAAUUCUGAGUGAUUAAUAGACUCCUAUUUAUUCUAUUGUAUUUUUUGACAUACCGGGUAAUGACACAAAUACAUAGUGUCAAAUUCUUGGUGUAUUGGAAGUAUAAUAAAAUAAAUAGCCGGGAAUAUUAAUAUACAAGAUGAAAUCCAUUCCUUCGUUAAGAAGUCAGAUGGACGGUUCCCAUAAGUAUUGGUUCGGGCCUUGAAUGAUAAGAGCGCUCAAUUUAUGAUUAGACCAUAAAUAUAUUAUUCAUUAGAGAACCAAUGGUACUUAAGGAGAAAGAUAUAAUUAAAGAGGUUAACGGAAAAACCUAGCUUUAAUUAUGAACCGUUUAUGGAGGACUGACUCAUAUGUAGUAACUAUAUCAAUGGGCAAUUCAAAUCCUUUGAAUAUAUUUAAUUUUAUAAUUUUAAGAGUGCAAUUCCAAAUUUUUAGUGGAGUAAUUUUGGAAUUAAUAAUUUUGAUUUUUUAAUUAAGUUGUUAAUUAAUUGUCAAAAUUAUUGGAAGCUUAAAAUUUAAAUGUCCAUAGUUCCUCUCAACGGCUCCAUUAAAAUUAUAUGAANNNNNNNNNNNNNNNNNNNNNNNNNNNNNNNNNNNNNNNNNNNNNNNNNNNNNNNNNNNNNNNNNNNNNNNNNNNNNNNNNNNNNNNNNNNNNNNNNNNNUAAAUAUAUUAUUCAUUAGAGAACCAAUGGCACUUAAGGAGAAAGAUAUAAUUAAAGAGGUUAACGGAAAAACCUAGCUUUAAUUAUGAACCGUUUAUGGAGGAUUGACUCAUAUGUAGUGACUAUAUCAAUGGGCAAUUCAAAUCCUUUGAAUAUAUUUAAUUUUAUAAUUUUAAGAGUGCAAUUCCAAAUUUUUAGUGGAGUAAUUUUGGAAUUAAUAAUUUUGAUUUUUUAAUUAAGUUGUUAAUUAAUUGUCAAAAUUAUUGGAGCUUAAAAUUAUAAUGUCCAUAGUUCCUCUCAACGGCUCCAUUAAAAUUAUAUGAACAUUUUUUUAUGUUGGGUUGAUUUUAUUAGUUUGGAAUUUUAAAUUCUAAAUUAAUUUCACACAAUCUUGAUUUGAUUUAUUUAUUUUAUAAUUUGAUUAUUUAAAAUAUUUUUUGAUACAAUGUGGUGAAGACCACACUUACUUGUAUUCCCUAAGAAACACCUUUUGAGUGGGGAUCAUGGGGAGAGAUAUUCUCUCCCAUGUUUUUCAAAAUUCAAAGAAACACUUUUUAAGUGGGGAUCAUGGGGAGAGAUAUUCUCUCCCAUGUUUUUCAAAAUUCAAAACAUGUCAGUUAUUUUUUUUUUUUUCGUGGUAUUAAAAAAUUUUUUUUUUCUCAAUGUUUCUCGGAUGAUGGGAUGAGAAUACAAGUUUUCAAUAUAUAUUAAGUUGUGUGAGAAAAAAAAACCGAAGAAUGAAAAACGCCCACUCGUUUUGAGUUCAUCAUAAUUUGGAGAACGUUAGAGAAAGAUCCAUGGUGCUUUAGAGGAUUUGGAAUUCUAAGAUCCUUUUGGUGAAGUUCAAAUUUAUCAGCCUAAUCGCAAGGUACAAUUCUAAUUUACCUAUAUUUGUUAUUUCAUUAAAUUAAUACAAGUAUUGAUCAUUGAGAAAAAAUUUUGAGAAAAUUUUUUUGGUUUCCGUUUUUUUCUUUUAUUUAUCUGGUUUCAAAACCAACAAUUUUUGUGUUUUAGGUUUUGUGUAUAUAUAUUCAUUCUUAAUCAAUAGAAAAUUCAAGCCAUUGUUUCUCAAUGAUCCUUUCUCUGCUUCAACAGUUUUCUCCCUGGAGCAUGACCUUAAUGGAACUAGCUAGAUUUUAUCUUGCAAGGGAACAACAGGUACUGGACUAGUGGCGUCCGGGAUGGGCAGGUUUUCAGCCUGCUUCCUGAAAUGCUUUUAGACAAUAUAUUGAAAUACAAUUAUUCCUUUAGUAAGGAUGAGAGCUAUUUCAAUUACUCUCUCUAUAAUUCUUCCAUUAUAAGCAGAGUGGUCCUGGAUGUGUCAGGGCAGAUUAAGCAAAUGACAUGGAUUGAAGACACUCAUCAAUGGAAAUUGUUUUGGUCUCAACCCAGAAGACAAUGUCAGGUUUAUGCUUACUGUGGGCCUUCUAGAAUCUGCAAUCUGGAUUCCUAUGAGUAUUGUGAAUAUUUGCCUGGCUUUGAACCUCGCUCCCCCGGAAACUGGGAAUUGCAAGACAGAUCUGGAGGGUAUGUGAGGAAAGCAGAUUUGCAGUGUGUCAAUGGAAGUCAUGGUGAUGGGGAGAGAGACCAGUUACUUUUGGUGUCUAAUGUAAGACUGCCCGAGUAUCCACUAACAUUGCAAGCAAGAGUGCCAUGGAUUGCGAGUCAGCCAGCCUGAAUAACUACUCUUGCUCUACUUAUGCUUAUGACAACGAGGAGUGUACAGUAUGGAGUGGAGAUCUUCUAAACCUGCAAUAGCUAUCAGAAUCUGACAGUAAUGCUGGAGAUUUCCAUCUCAAACUUGCUGACUCUGAGCAAAAUAGGAGAGGUAAGAAAAAGGGAAUGCUCAUACUAGUUGUUGUAGGACAUAAAGCAUAUAAAAUGGCUAUUGAUUUAGUUAAGUUAAAUGUCAUAUAUUUCCUUCUACAGUUUCAAGCAGCAAGUAGAAGCUAUGGCUCAUUGUUACACUAACCAUUUCUGUAACUUUAGCCUUUGUCACAUUUGGAAUAUGGAGAAGGCUCCAAAGAAAAGGUCAGUAUUUCUCAUGGAUAGAAGAUGACCAAGCAAUUCAAGGCUAUUUAGAUUCCAUCAACACAUACAAAACCAUUUCUUAUCUGAUAUGAAUUCAUUACCAUUGUUGUAGAAUAAUUAAGUUCAUAUUAGAGUUUCAAUCUCCUGAUUACAGUAUUGAAUUAGCUUAUUCCCAUGCCAGAAUUCCUACAUUCUUAUAGAAUUUAAUCUGUUGGUUCUUUACCAAGCAUGGGAAGAUUUGUUACUAUUUGAUUUCAGUGACAGCUCAGAAGAUACCAACCAUGAACUUAGUGAGGCAAAUAAAGGUUGGAGAGGAGAGAAGAAGGAAGUUGAUUUGCCAAUGUUUAGUUGUGCGAGUGUAUCUAUUGCUACCAAUAACUUCUCUAUUGAAAAUAAACUAGGAGAGGGAGGUUUUGGACCAGUUUAUAAGGUGAGCUUAGUAUGACUAACAGUAAUGCCUCUUAGAAAAGAAAUGUGAAAAUUUUUGCUACUGUUCUACAAUCCCUCAACCGUAAAUGCCCAUUAGGCAUACACAAAUUUUCUUUUACUUGGUGUGGUUGUUGUACUUAGUUGAAAUCCCCAUGACAUGGAAAGUCACAAAGAGGAUAUGAGGUAGCUGUGAAAAGACUUUCAAAAAGAUUUGGACAGGGUUGGGAGGAGUUAAAAAAUGAAUCCAUGCUUAUAGACAAGCUUCAACAUAAGAAUCAUGUUAGACUUUUGGGCUGCUGCAUUGAGCUAGAUGAGAAGAUACUGAUUUAUGAGUAUAUGCCCAAUAAAAGCUUAGAUUUCAUCCUUUUUGGUUUGUACUUCUCAACAUAUCUAAACUUUUGUUUAUCCUAAGCUCAAUAAAAAGCUUUUUUCAUUCAUUGUUGUUGGCCUUUUAUUUACUGACACCAGUUUGUAUUUAUUUGGUGUAAAAUUGGGAUAGAUCCUGCAUGACAUGGGAUUCUGGACUAGGAGACACGUCAUUCACAUAAUUGAAGGGGUUGCUAAGGGAUUUCUUGAUCUCCAUCAAUACUCCAGAUUGAGGAUUAUUCAUCAAGAUUUGAAGGUUAGCAACAUGUUUUUGGAUAUGGACAUGAACCCCAAAAUAUCAGAUUUUGGAAUGGCAAGAAUUUUUGGAGGGACUUGGUAAGUGAAUCCUUGCAAACUGUAAGAUACAUGGAUUCUCUCUCUCUCUCUCUCUCUCUCUCUCACACACACACACACACACACACACACACAUAUAUAUAUAUAUACAUUUUUGUCACAAGGCAGCUACUAAAUGAUUUGUUAUAAUAAUGAAAUUUAGUGGCUACAUGUCCCUUGAAUAUGCUUUGGAAGGCCUCUUUUCAACUAAAUCAGAUGUCUUUAGCUCCAGGGUUUUGUUACGGGAGAUUCUAAGAGGCAAAAAAAAAUACCAGAUUUUACCAGAGUGAUUCACUCAAUCUUCUUGGAUAUGUGAGUAACACAAUCUACAAUGUUCUAAUAUACUAAUUCUUGAUUUACUAGUCAGUAAUUUUUCACAUCUUGUUUACUAGUCAAUUUUAAGCUAAAGUUCUUUGCAUGCAAUAAAAAGGACCAUGCAUCUGUUUUUCUUUUUUGGAAAUUUGCAUCAAAAGAACAUUUUCUUUCCUUCAGGCAUGGGAUCUAUGGAAAAACAACAUAGGGCAGGACCUGAUGGAUCCAGUAUUGAAUUGGGAGGCACGGGUUCACAUCAUUCAAGGGAUGGCUCAGGGACUUCUUUAUCUCCAUUAAUACUCUAGAUUGAGAAUUAUUCAUCAAGAUUCGAAGACUAGCAACAUUCUUUUGGAUAAGAACAUGAACAAAACAUAUAGUUGGGACUUAGUAAGUGAAUCAUUAUUAUACUCAUUUUUAUGUGGAAUUUAAAGUUUUAAAAUUUUGUACAAAACAAUUUGCACUUAUAGCUUUUUAAAUAAGAAAACUAUUUUAUAUUUUUAAAAUAAAAUAAUGCAAUUGUGGCAUGUGAAGAAAUUUUUAUUUUUAUGGAUAAAUAUAUUUUACAAAUUUUAUAUCAAUUUCUUUUUUAUUUAUAUCUAUUUAUAUUUUUUUUCAAUGUUUUCAUAAUCGAAUUGGUCAUUGAAUUGAAAAAGUUACUGGUUCACGGUUCAUUGGUUGGAUUGGUGUCGAUCCGUGAUUGAAUCAGUGAUGUUAUAAAUAAGUAAUUUAUAUAUUAUUAAAAUUCAAAAUGUUAUAUAAAAUUUUUUAGAUAUAUAAAAAAAUAAAAAUCAAUAAUAUUUAUUUUUUCAUCUUUAAUAUUAUCAAAUUAACAUAUAUCAAUAAUAUAAUAUUAUCAAUAAAAAAAAUAUUAUCAAGUCCGAAUCGGUGCCUGGUCCACCAGGCUAGUGGUUUUGACCGCCUGUCCGUUGGGCUCAUGAGCGGUCGGCAUUCCGGCCUAAUUAGGCUACCUGGACUGGAUUAAGCUCCAGUUGAUGGUUGAACUGGCCAAUCCAAAACAUUGAUUUUUUUUUUUUAUCUCAAUAUUUGUAUCUUAUUUACUUCAUAUAAACUUGAAAUUAUUAAUUUAAAUAACAAUUAUCCAUUAUCCAUUUAAAACCAGUCAUCCUCACAUUUAUCUCUACACCCAAAUGCCCAUUUCCUAUUGAAAAGUGAAUAUCACAUUGGAUGCAUUGAAUUGUUGUUUCCCUACCACCACCCCUUUUAACUUCUCUUCACUUUGGCAUCACAAACUUAAGCAAUUUUUUUGGGAUGUUGAGAUGAGAUCAUGAGACAAGCGUUCAGAGGACGUGUUGAGAGUUUCUGAUAUCUUCCACGACAGCUAAGACCAUGAAUCUGAAGAGAAAGAACUGAAGAAGAGGGAGGAAAGUGAGAGUUGGUUACUCCCUUAAUUUUCAAAUUUAAAAUGGAUGAUGAAGUCUGAAGAUGUCAUAUUACACAUCCAAUGGGCCCAAUAAAUUCUUGGGUACCUACACAGACUGUUUCGUAGAAUUUUCCUAAAAGAUAUUUUGAAAGGGAGAUCGAUGGAAAGGAGACUUUUACUUACCAGUCGCCGGGCCGCCUCAGAUCCGCUACUGCCUGUUUUGGAUGGCUAUAAGAUUAUUGAUGGGCUGCGUAAACGCUUCUUAUGAGUUAUGGGUAGCAUGGAAUUUUCAACCAGAAGGUGUUCUGCUUAUCUUGUUUUCUUGCUUAUUUCUUCAGGUUUUCACUGGCAAUUUGCUGAUGCAUUUACAGAUACAAUCUUACAAGGUCAGUCAAUUACAACCUCUCAGACCAUCAUAUCUGCUGCUGGUAACUUUGAAUUAGGAUUCUUCAAGCCUGGAAACUCCACAAAUUAUUAUGUGGGGAUAUGGUACAAGAAAAUCUCAGACCAAGUCUCAGACAAAACCAUUGCCUGGGUGGCUAACCGAGAGUAUGCGUUCAAAAAUCCGUCUGUGGUCCUUACUGUCAGCACAGAUGGUAACCUCGAGAUUUUGGAAGGGAAGUUUGCCUACAAGGUGCAAGCAUAUCAUCAAAUAGAAACACAAGUGCCACCCUGUUGGAUUCUGGAAAUGUAGUUUUGAGAAAUGACAACUCAACUAUCUUAUGGCAGAGCUUUGACUAUCCAUCGCACGCUUUCUUGCCGGGGAUGAAAAUUGGAUAUGACAAAAGGGCUGGAAAAACAUGGUCAUUGACGUCAUGGAAGAGCACUGAAGAUCCCAGUCCAAGAGUUUUCUCCGUGGAGCAGGGCCCUAAUGGAACUAGCCAGAUUUUUAUCUUGCAAGGGCCAACAAGGUUCUGGACUAGUGGCAUAUGGGAUGGGCGUACUUUCAGCCUGGCUCCUGAGAUGCUCGAAGACUACAUAUUUAAUUACAGUUAUUACUCUAGUAAGGAUGAGAGCUAUUGGAGUUACUCUCUCUAUGAUUCUUCCAUUAUAAGCAGAUUGGUGCUGGAUGUGUCAGGGCAGAUUAAGCAAAGGAAAUGGCUUGAUUCCUCUCAUCAAUGGAAUUUGUUUUGGGCUCGACCAAGAACAAAAUGUGAGGUUUAUGCUUCCUGUGGGCCUUUUGGAAUCUGCCAUGAGAGUGCAGUCGAUGGAUUCUGUGAAUGUUUGCCAGGUUUUGAACCUGUCUCCCCUAAUAACUGGUACUCGGACGAAGGGUGUGAGGAAAGCAGAUUGCAGUGUGGCAAUACUACUCAUGCUAAUGGGGAGAGAGACCAGUUUCGCAAGGUGUCUAGUGUGACACUACCGAAUUAUCCACUAACACUCCCAGCGAGGAGUGCCCAGGAGUGCAAGUCAGCUUGCCUAAAUAACUGCUCUUGCUCUGCUUAUGCCUACGACAGAGAGACGUGUACAGUAUGGAGUGGAGAUCUUCUAAAUUUGCGACAGCCAUCCCAUUACAACAGUAGUGGUCAAGAUUUCUAUCUCAAACUUGCGGCCUCUGAGCUAAAUGGGAAAGGUAAUAAAAGUAGGGAAUGGUCAAACUUUUUUUGUGGAAGGACAGAGCAUAUGAUUUUCUUUUUCUUAAAUAUAAGAUGAAGUUCAUCAAAGAUUAGUUACAUUUAUUUCUUUUUGCAGUUUCAAGCAGCAAGUGGAAGGUGUGGCUAAUUGUUAUACUGGCCAUUUCCCUAACUUCAGCCUUUGUCAUUUGGGGGAUAUGGAGAAAGCUCCGAAGAAAAGGUCAGUAUUUUUCAUGGAUAGAAGAUGGCCAAGCAAUUCAAGGGUAUUUAGAUUCCAUCUACACAUACAAAACCAUUUGUUUUCUGCAAUGAGCUCAUUACCAUUGUUGUAGAAUAAUUAAGGCCAUAUUAGGAUUUCAAUCUCCUGAUUACAUGUGAGUGUGGACCUGCACUAUAGUGCGAUAAAAAUCAAUAAUGAAUCAAUUUAUUCCCAUGCCAGAAUUCCUACAUUCUUAUGAUACUUGACAGCUGUUUCGUCUUUAUCAAGCAGGGGAAAAUUUGUUACUAUUUGAUUUAAGUAACAGCUCAGAAGAUGCCAACUAUGAACUUAGUGAGGCAAAUAAACUUUGGAGAGGCGAGAACAAGGAAGUUGAUUUGCCAAUGUUCAGUUUUGUGAGUGUAUCUGCUGCUACUAAUAACUUCUCUAUUGAAAAUAAACUAGGAGAGGCGGUUUUGGACCUGUUUACAAGGUGAGAUUAGUAUCUGUGAAUUUUCUUGGUAUGUACAGAGUUUCUUUUACUUGGUGUCAUUGUACUAAGUUAAAAUUCCCAUGACAGGGAAAGUCACAAAAAGGAUACGAUGUAGCUGUGAAAAGGCUUUCAAAAAGAUCAGGAUAGGGAUGGGAGGAGUUAAAAGAAUGAAGCCAUGCUUAUAGCCAAGCUGCAACAUAAGAAUCUUGUGAAGUUGUUUGGUUGCUGCAUUGAGCAAGAUGAGAAGAUAUUGAUUUAUGAGUAUAUGCCCAACAAAAGCUUGGAUUUCUUCCUAUUUGGUUUGUAACUUCUACAUAUCUGAACUUCUUGCUACUGUGUAUUCAAUAAAAAACCAUUCAUUAUUAUUCACCACUUAUUUGCUAACAUGAGUUUGUAUUUAUUUGGUGUAAAAUGGAAAUAGAUCCUGCAAAACAUGGGAUUCUGAAUUGGAAGACAUGGGUUCACAUCAUUGAAGGGGUUGCUCAGGGUCUUCUUUAUCUGCAUCAAUACUCCAGAUUGAGGAUUAUUCAUCGAGAUUUGAAGGCUAGCAACAUUCUUCUAGAUAAGGACAUGAAUCCUAAGAUAUCAGAUUUUGGAAUGGUAAGAAUAUUUGGGAGCAACGAAUCAAAAGCAACAAAUCAUAUAGUUGGGACUUAGUAAGUGAAGCCUAACAAAUUCUAAAAUAUGUGAAUGUUCAUACAACUUUUUUUUUUUUUCUACACAUAUAUUUGAAAUCAUGCAGCUACUAAAUCGUUUUGUGAUUAAUAAUCAAAUUCAGUGGCUACAUGUCCCCUGAGUAUGCAUUGGAAGGCCUUUUUUCGACUAAAUCUGAUGUCUUUAGCUUCGGGGUCUUAUUACUAGAGAUUUUGAGUGGCAAGAAGAAUACUGAAUUUUACCAAAGUGACUCCCUCAAUCUUCUCGGAUAUGUGAGUAACACAAUAUUUCCUCACAUAACUAUUUAUGAUGUUUUGAUAUGCUAAUUCUUUGUUUUCAAUUCCCCUGUUAUAUUACCUAUUUGGUUGUCUUGGGCUAGUAAAUUUUCACAUUAUGUUUACCACUCAGUUUCAAAGCUUAUUUCAUAUCAUUGGCUACUAUAAAAAGGACUUUAUUAUCUUUUACUUUUUGGGAAUUUGCAUCAAUGGAUAAUUUUCUUUCUUUUAGGCAUGGGAUCUGUGGAAAGACAACAGGGGACAGGAGUUGAUGGAUCCAGUGUUGGAAGAGACAUUGCCAACACACAUUCUGUUGAAGUACAUCAAUAUAGGCCUUCUUUGUGUUCAAGAAAGUGCAGAUGACAGGCUUACCAUGUCUGAUGUUGUCUCAAUGCUUGGCAAUGAAAGUGUACGUUUACCCUCUCCAAAACAACCGGCAUUUUCAAAUCUGAGAAGUGGGGUGGCACCACAUAUAUUUCAAAACAGGCCUGAAAUUUGUUCCUUAAAUGGUGUGACACUUUCGAUUAUGGAAGCACGAUAAUGGUUCAGAACUUAAUAAAUAAUAUGCUUAAAUUUCAGCAUAUUGUCUUGCGUUGUUUUUGUGAAUUCAUAGCUCAUGUAUUGAAAUGGACAUGUGAUCUAUGUGUUAAUUUUUCUUCCAAAACAGUUCAAUAAUCAUUCAGACCUGUGUCUAAUAUUUUUAUCUGAAACUGUUAUGAAGUCUGAUUUUAUCCAGUUGAAUUUGGAUUUAAUUUGAUUAUGAUCUGUACCCUCAUCAAUCCAAGGAGUGAAGGACAAUUUUCAGAGCUCAAAAACCAACAAAUGGCGCAUUUAGGGCCAAUCCAUCUAUAGAGAGUCAACUAUCCACCUUCCACUUAUUCUCUUAUAUGUGUUUCCGAAUGCCCUGGCAUAUGUAUAUCUUGCACAGAUUCAAUUCUGUACUACUGUAUAUUUACUAUGAGACUGACUAAGUUCUACUGUUUUGAGAAUAGUGCAGUGUAUAUAUCUUGCCAAGAAUAUUCUAUGGAGCAUAAUUCCUUUGUGAAAUCAGAUGUUUCCAGCUAAGGAGUUGAUUGUGAAUCCUGUGACAAGAGGAACUCGAAAUAUUACCUCUCACUGAGAAUCCUGUGAAUUGAAACCUCCUUAACACCUACCAUAUGAAAAUGAAUGAUUUUUCUUUUCUUUUUUUCUGUAAUUUUAUGUAUUAGCAUGGUAAGUGAAUUCAGUUUUCACUGGGCAUCUGAAAGAAGAUAAUUUGAAACAGUUUUUGGUAUGGGGAAUGGGGUAUGAGGACAAGAUGCUGUAAUUGAUGGAUAUGUCAGUGGGGAAAGAAAUUAUCAGAACCCAGGUGUAGGUAUUAACUUAGCUAUAAUGGGGGAAGGGAGUGAACAGAAGCAGGGUUAGCUUCAAUUUCAGAUUCAUAUCAUACAGUGCUUCAUUCAACUAGUAAUAGCGAAGACAAUUCAGCUACUCAGCAUAGGAGGGAGGAAUUAGUUAAGCAGUUGUAGAUUUUUCGCCUUCCAAAUCCAAAGUGAUCAGACAAUUUUCCAGAAAAAAAAAAAGUGGUAUAACGUUCCCUGUGACUUAUAACACUUCCCAUUUGUUUGGACAUAGUUUGAAUAAAACCCCUUUGGUUGCCAAGAAAACCAAGGAAAAUGCAAAAGAGAAAUAACUUGAAGUCUACAAUUUCUGUAGUUUAUGAUGGAAAGCUCAAGUUCAAGCUCAAGUAAGGCUAAACGAGCCCAUUGACCCUCUCUCAUCUCUACAACAUAGACUUCAAAAGCAAAAUGGGUAAAAUAAUGGUCAUUUAAGGGGCCCUGCGCUUGGCUUGGGAAUCAGUUUCAUUGAAUAUUUUAGGAGAGAUAACAUAUAGCAAGUCAAAAAGUAGAUAAGUACAAACUAAUUUUGCCGUCCAGCAUAGAAAAUCUAAUCCCAGUGGGGCCUUAAGUACAUGAAUUUAGUGUUCUUUCCAUCAUUCUUCUCAUUCUGGUCAUGGUCUAGAUUGAAGAAAGGUCCGAUACAAAUUGGAAAAGUCAUAGAAGGAAAUAUAUCUAGAAGGGAAUCCUAACAAAAGGUCUUUCAAAACUGCUACACCUUGCUUUGCAUCGUAGUUGGUCUCUGCAUUGAAUGAGUCUUUUUUUUUCCUAUGUCCCCUGGAGACAGAAAAUCUGAAAACAUUUCUAAAUGGUUUUCCAAAAUACAGUGCAUGGGAGGUUCCAGGACUUUGAGGGAAAGGAAAGCAGCAGAACCAGCUGGGGAAAAUCAGGUAUCUGAUUUCUUCUAUUAAUUCAUCAGCAUGAAAAGGAUCAUUUCCUGCCACUCUAAUGUUGUUUAAUCUAUUCAACCACGGAAAUUAGGGAAGACUUUGACGAAAAUGAUGCGCGGUCAAGUUCUGCUACCUGCUACAUUGAAUUAUGCUUAUCUAGGGAAGAUGCAUUGAAGUCUUAGAGCAUUUGAGAUUUUUUUUUUCUUUUUUUCUCUUAAGACACAAUUAAUUGUCCAUAAAUUAAUAGCUUGGGAACAAGGAAAAUCAAUUAAUUAAGUGAAUAUUAAUUGCUUAUUAAUUAAUAAAUCAUUAAUUUAUCAAGAUAGUUCUUAUUUUUUCAAAAUAUUGUAUUCAAUAUUAUUUAUUAUAAUUGUUAGGAAGUGUCCCAAUUUCCUAAUUAGUAUAAAUUUAUUUUUUGUAAAGAAUAUUAUAUGAAUGUUUUUAGGUUAAUAUAUUAUUGUAAUAUUAGAUUUUCUUAUAGGGUAAGGAAGGUUGUUGGAAAUAUCUUUGUACAUAUUCUAGGUCAUGAGGAGAAAAAGUUAUGAGAUGGAAAUGACCAUGUAAAGAUUAUACGGGGUAAAUAGAGAUGUGAGAAAGAACGGGAGGUACUCGGUGGAGCGAGAUGACUUGUGGUAGGGUAGGGAUACGAAGAGUAGGAAAACAGGAGAUGUUUUAAGAACCCAAUAAUUGUAUCUGGUUAUGUCCUCUAUAAUGUUUUGGUUCUAUCCUUUGUAAUGUUCUCUAUUGUAUAAUGAAAUGAUUCUCUCUCAUCUGUGGACGCAGACAUGGUUGGUCGGAUGUGAUGAGGGAGCAGCAACACCACUCUUCAUCUCUGAACUAGACUGUGAUGUAGACUUUGGUAUGGAUCUUGACCCCAACUCAACCUCCACCUGUGUGCUUGAUUUUUAUUGCUCUUUAUCACAAGAAUAUCUAAAAGAUGAGUCAUGAAGCAUAGUAGUUUCAUAAAAAAUAACAUCUCUAUUGACCAUGACUUUCUUGGUUUUUAAACACCAUAACUUAUAUCCUUUAACACUAGACUUAUAGCCAAGGAAGACACAUUUUAUAGACCUAGGUUCUAGCUUUCCAUUAUCAACAUGAGUAUAGGCAGGACAUCUAAAUACCUUCAAAUCAGGGUAACUAGCAGGAGUACCAGACCAUACCUCUUGUGGAGUUCUUUUGUUAGUAGUAGUUGAGGGAUAACGAUGAAUGAGGAAACAAGAUGUAGCUUUAGUCCAAAAAGACUUAGGUAAACCAACAAUGGAAAGCAUAUAAUGUACUUUCUCCAUCAAAGUCCUAUUCAUUUGCUUUGCCACACCGUUUUGCUGUGGGGUAUGACGAACUGUAUGAUGCCUCGCGAUUUCUUCUGACUUGCAUAGAACAUUAAAUUCAUAAGAACAAAACUCCAAGCCAUUAUCAGUGCGAAGACGUUUUACCUGCUUCCAUGUCUGCUUCUCAAUCAUAAUUGUCCACUCCUUGAAUGUAGCUAACAUAUCACUCUUUUUCUUCAAGAAGAACACCCAAACUUUUCUGGAAAAAAUCAUCAAUGAUAGUUAACAUAUAACUAACACAUCCCUUAGAAGGCACCCUAGAUGGUCCCCGAAGAUUAGAAUGUAUAUAAUUGAGUGUCCUCUUUGUGUUGUGAAUGCCUUUUGUGAAUUUGACUCUUCUCUGCUUCCCAAAAACGCAGUGCUCAUAGAACUUUAGUUUUCUAAUACUCUAACCAUUAAGAAGUCCUCUUUUGCUCAAUUCAAUCAUCCCAUUCUCACUCAUAUGCCUAAGGCGCAUAUGCCAAAGUCUAGUAACAUCACCAUCUAAUAAGGAAGAAGUAGCAACAACUACAUCACUUAUAACUGUGGAUCCCUACAAGACAUAUAAUUUGGUAGAUCUUUUCUGCCAUUUCAUCACAACAAGAACACAUUUACUAACCUUUAAGACUCCACCUUCACCAGUAUACUUGUACCCUUUUGAAUCAAGAGUACUCAAUGAGAUAAAGUUCCUCUUUAGAUUUGGAAUGUGUCUCAUAUCACCAAACAUAGAUGGACAUUCAAGAAUAAAGAUUAGAAUUAGAUUUGAACCCAAACAUCAUUUAAAUCAGAGAUUGUAUAGGUCAUUAUAGAAGAUUAUUAUUAAAUUUGGCCCGAAAAAUAAAUCUUUUACAUUUUACUCCCUACUAUAAGUGACCUACCACCAGCCUAAAAAGAAGAAAUGUGGGCCUAAUGAGGGUUUUUUUUUUUUUUUUGAUAUUUUCCAUUUAUAUAACUAACUUGAACAAUGGUGUACCCUUAAAAGUAGAAAAGAUCCAUGUAGUAUUCUUCGGUUUAUUAUGGUUAUGUUUGGUUAUGAGAAAAUUUAAAGGAAAAUGUGAAGAAAAGAAAAUAAAAAAGAAAAAUAAAAAGAAAGAAAAUUAAAAAUGGGUUUAAAUUCAAUGAAUUAUUUUUAUAUGCUUCUCCAAACUCAUUUCACUUUUUUUUUUCAUUAUAAUAAGAUUAAAUAAUUUAAAAAUAUAUAAAAUUUUAACUAAUUUUAUUUUAUUUUGUAUUUUUUCAUAAUGAAACUAAAUAUAAGAAAACUAUUUUUCUUAACUUUUUUUUUCUUAAUAUUUUCCAAGAGACUAAAUAUAGCCUAGAUGUAUCUAGUAGAAAGAUCCAACAUGGGGUUGGAAAAAAAUCAUAGAAGAAGAUAUAUCUUGAAGGGGAGAUCAAAGGAUAUUAAAUGGGACUAUGACCCACACCUGAGAUUUAUGGGCUGCUUAAUGGAACAAACCAGAUUUUUAUCCACCAUAUUGAAUAUUGAAUAUGGUAUUCUUCCAAUUAUUAAAUGUAUUCAGCGAAAAGGUCCAAUUGUUAGUAAAAGAAGAACAGGUCAAACUAUCGUACUAGGGUGCUAUGAGUGAGAUUGUGAUUACAUCAACUUUUAAUUAUUUAGAAUAUUGUCCAUUAUAUAUUUUAAUUUUUUAUAAUAUUAAUUUAUUUUAUUGAUUAAGAAUUAUAAUUUAAUGUAUACUUAACAUUAAAAUCUUAUAUAGUUCCAAUUUCAUACAAGUAACUAAAUUUUUUAUAUUGAUCUCAUCUCUGCACCCAAAUGCCCAUUUCCUCUUGAAGAUUAAAAAUUAAAAAUAAAAAUUAAUCCAUCUAACAACCAAGUUAAAAUGUAUUUAUAUAUCAUAAAAAAAAAAAAUCAUCACCGAAUAAACCAAUAACCAUAAAAAUAAAAAUGGAAAAUCAUCUAUAAAUAAAUCAAAACAAAAUAUAAAAAGAAAAUAAUAUUUUCAUGGUUGAUUAACCCUAUGAGUUGGAUGAUAAAAGCGUUAAUAUCGAGUUGGAGGCAAAACCAAUAACCAUCGGAAGAUAUUCUUCGAUUGCUACCACACGGUGCUGUAGAAUUUUCCAAAAGGGAGGCCAGUGUAAAGGAGACGUGCAAGAUGUUCUUCUAUUGCUUCCACACAGUGGUGUCGAAUUUUCCUAGAAGAUAUAUUGAAAGGGAGAUCAGUGGAAAGGAGACUUUGACUCACCGGUCGUUGGGCCUCAGGUCCGCCACUGCCUGUUUUGGAUGACUAUAAAACUAUUGAUGGGCUGCUUAAACGCUGCUUAUGAGUUAUGGUUAACAUGAAAAUUUCAACCAGAAGGUGGUCUGCUAAUCUUGUUUUCUUGCUUAUUUCUUCAGGUUUUCACUGGCAAUUUGUUGAUGCAUUUACAGAUACAAUCUUACAAGGUCAAUCAAUCACAACCUCUCAGACCAUCAUCUCUGCUGGAGGUAACUUUGAAUUAGGAUUCUUUUCUCCUGGAAAGUCCACAAAAUACUAUGUGGGGAUAUGGUACAAGAAAAUCUUAGAGCAAACCAUUGUGUGGGUAGCUAACCGAGACUAUUCAUUCACAAAUCCGUCCGUGAUUCUCACUGUCAGCACAGAUGGCAACCUCGAGAUUUUGGAGGGGAAGUUUUCGUACAAGGUGACAAGCAUAUCAUCAAACAGCAACACUAGUGCCACCCUGUUGGAUUCUGGAAAUCUUGUUUUGAGGAAUGGCAACUCAGAUAUCUUAUGGGAGAGCUUUGACUAUCCAACGGACACACUCCUGCCCGGAAUGAAAAUCGGACAUGACAAAAGGUCUGGAAAAACAUGGUCAUUGGUGUCAUGGAAGAGCGCAGAAGAUCCCGGUCCAGGAGAUUUCUCCGUGCAGGUCGACCCUAAUGGAACUAGACAGAUUUUUAGCCUGCAAGGACCCAACAGGUAUUGGACUACUGGGGUGUGGGAUGGGCAGAUUUUCAGCCAGAUUCCUGAGUUGCGUUUCUACUACUUUUAUAAGUACAAUACAUCCUUUAAUGAGAAUGAAAGCUAUUUCACUUACUCUUUUCAUGAUCCCUCCAUUCUGAGCAGAGUGGUGGUAGAUGUGUCAGGCCAGGUUAGGAAACUGAAAUGGCAUGAAGGCACACAUGAAUGGCAUUUAUUUUGGCUUCAACCAAAAAUACAGUGUGAGAUUUAUGCUUACUGUGGGCCUUUUGGAACCUGCACUCGGGAUUCUGUUGAAUUUUGUGAAUGCUUACCAGGUUUUGAACCUCGCUUCCCUGAAGACUGGAAUCUGCAAGACAGAUCUGGAGGGUGUGUGAGGAAAGAAGAUUUGCAGUGUGUCAAUGAAAGCCAUGCUAAUGGGGAGCGAGACCAGUUUCUUUUGGUGUCUAACGUGAGACUGCCCAAGUAUCCAGUAACACUGCAAGCAAGGACUGCUAUGGAGUGCGAAUCAAUUUGCCUGAAUCGCUGCUCUUGCUCUGCUUAUGCUUACGAGGGAGAGUGUAGAAUAUGGGGUGGAGAUCUUGUAAACGUGGAGCAGCUACCAGAUGGUGACAGUAAUGCUAGAAGUUUCUACAUCAAACUUGCUGCCUCUGAGCUAAAUAAGAGAGGUAAGAAAAAAGAGUCAUAGUUGUUAUUGUAGGAGGACAUAGAGCAUAUGGGUCUUGUUUUAUUUUCAAUAUAAAAUGGCCAUGGAUUCAGCUAAAUUUAAUAUGAUAUAUUUCCUUCUACAGUUUCAACCAGCAAGUGGAAGGUAUGGUUAAUUGUCACACUGGCCAUAUCUUUAACUUCAGUAUUUGUCAAUUAUGGGAUAUGGCGAAGGUUCCGAAGAAAAGGUCAGUAUUUCUCAUGGACAGAAGGAUGGCCAAGCAGUUCAACAGUUUUUAGGUUCCAUCUGCAAAUACAAAGCCAGUUCUUUUUUUAAAAUGAGUUCAUUACCACUGUUAUUGAAUAAUUAAGGUAACAUUAGGAUUUCAUGUUCUGAUUACAUGUGAGUGUGUAUGUGGAAUCCAAUGUGAGAAAUAAUUUAUUCCCAUGCCGGAAUUCCUACAUUCUUAUGAUAUUUAAUGUCUGUUUGUUCUUUACCAAGCAGGGGAAGAUUUGUUAGUAUUUGAUUUCGGUAACAGCUCAGAAGAUACCAACUGCUAUGAGCUUGGCGAGACAAAUAGACUUUGGAGGGACGAGAAGAAGGAAGUUGAUUUGCCCAUGUUCAGUUUUGCGAGUGUAUCUGCUUCUACAAAUAACUUCUGUAUUGAAAAUAAACUAGGAGAGGGCGGUUUUGGAUCUGUUUACAAGGUGAGAUUAUAACCCCUGACAAUAAUGUUCUACAAUUUGUCCUGGAAUGUAAAGGCCUACUUGAUAUAUACCAAAUUUCUUUUACUUGGUGUAAUUGUAGUCUGUUGAAAUUCCCAUGACAGGGAAAGUCACAAAGAGGAUAUGAGGUAGCUGUGAAAAGGCUCUCAAAAAGAUCUAAACAGGGAUGGGAGGAGUUAAAAAAUGAAGCCAUGCUUAUAGCCAAGUUGCAACACAAGAAUCUUGUGAAAGUUUUGGGAUACUGCAUCGAGCGGGAUGAGAAGAUAUUGAUUUAUGAGUAUAUGUCCAACAAAAGCUUGGAUUUCUUCCUCUUUGGUUUGUAACUUCCACAUACAUAUGCUUCCAGCUACUGUAUAUUCAAUGAGAACUUUAUACAUUCAUCAUUCUUCACCACUUACUUGCUAACAUCUAUUUUUUUGGUGUAAAAUGGAAAUAGAUCCUGCAAAACGCGGGAUUCUGAAUUGGGAGACGCGAGUUCACAUCAUUGAAGGGGUUGCUCAGGGACUUCUUUAUCUCCAUCAGUACUCCAGAUUGAGAGUUAUUCAUCGAGAUUUGAAGGCUAGCAACAUUCUUCUGGAUAAAGACAUGAACCCUAAAAUAUCAGAUUUUGGAAUGGCAAGAAUUUUUGGAGGAAAUGAAUCAAAAGCAACAAAACAUAUAGUUGGGACUUAGUAAGUGAAUCCUAACGCAUUGUAAAAUAUGUGGACUGUCUCAUAACAUGCUUUUUUUCUACAUAUAUAUUUGUAAUCAUGCAAUUACUAAAUGAAUUGUUUUAAUAAUGAAUCCAGUGGCUACAUGUCCCCCGAGUAUGUUUUGCGAGGUCUCUUUUCAACUAAAUCUGAUGUUUUUAGCUUCGGGGUCUUGUUAUUAGAGAUUCUAAGUGGCAAGAAGAUUACUGAAUUUUAUCAUAGUGACUCGCUCAAUCUUCUUGGAUAUGUAAGUAACACAAAUUUCCUCUUAUGUAGCUAAAGUUAUCAUGUUUACUACUAUAUUUCAAGCUUUAAGUUACAUACUUGAAUGCAAUUGACCGAAUUAGGACUAUAUAUCUUUUUUUCUUUUUUCGGGAAUGUGCAUCAAAGUAUAAUUUUCUUUCCUUUAGGCAUGGGAUCUGUGGAAAAGCAACAGAGGACAAGAGUUGAUUGAUCCAGUAUUGAAUGAGAUAUCUUUGAGACAUAUUCUGUUAAGGUACAUCAAUGUAGCCCUUCUUUGUGUUCAAGAAAGUGCAGAUGAUAGGCCCACCAUGUCCGAUGUUGUCUCCAUGCUUGUCAAGGAAAAUGUACUUUUAUCUUCUCCAAAUGAGCCGGCCUUCUUAAAUCUAUCGAGUAUGAAACCACAUGCAUCUCAAGAUAGGCUUGAAAUUUGUUCCUUAAAUGAUGUAACACUUUCAAGCAUGGGAGCACGAUAAGUGUUCUAAAUUUCAGAUUGCAUAUGCUUAAAUGUCUUCAGCAUAUUGUCUAGUAUUAUUAUUGGCCAUCAAGUGGAUUGUUGAUGUACUGAACGUGUGAACUUUUGUAUGUAUUUUUCUUUCAAUGCAGUUCAAUAAUGUGCUUAAUUUUACUCAAUCCUCAAGGAUUCAGACCUGUAUCUCAUCUUCCCAUCUGUAAUUGCUACUGAAUCUGCUUUUAUGCAUUGCCAAUCCAGACACUAAAAUACAACCCUCAGAGCUUACUGCAAAUGUUCAACUAGUGCUAGGAAAGACGAGCUUUUGCGCAUGCUACAGCUAAGCAUAAGUACUAAUUAACAUAUAGGCAAGAGGGAAAGUGAGGAAGGAAAGCAGCUAUAGAUUUUUUUGCCUUUUAAACUGUGAUAGCAUCUAGCAUUUUUUUUAAGAGAAGAAAUAGUAUAAUUUAAUUGAGUACUCGUAAAACCUUCUUUUCUUAUUGGACAUGGUUUCAAUAAAACCCAUUUGGUUGCCAAGAAAUCUGAGGAAAUUCAGGAUGUGGAUGGGGAAUUUGAAGUCUACCUUCGUCCCUAUAGCUUAAAAUGAAAAGGCAUAGUUACAAACUAAGCUUACAUUCUGGCAGAAACGUAUAUAUUCCCUAUUGGGGCUUGCAGUAGGAGAUUGACCUGGAAGCCAACCAGAAAAGACAUGCAUCUAUGAUUAAAAGGAGCUCAUGCUCACAAGAAACUUUCUCUCUAUCCAAUGUGGGAUAUGACACCCUGAAGUAUGAAUAUCACUACUUACUAUUGCUAGCUAUGGACAAGGAAAAAAAAACAAGAGAAGGAAAAAAAACGAAAGGAGGAAUAAGCAAAAUGAUGUCCAAGGAUUCAAAAUUGUUUACAGUAAUUGGCCAGAAGCUAGAUCAAUUUCAUGAAAAUAUUUAAUUCCCCAAAAUUAAGAGUAAGUUUUUCCCAACAAAAUUGUUAUUUUUUUAAUUCCCUUAAUCCUAUGGGUUCAAGAACAAGCCGAGUCCAGUACGACUCGGCCGAGUCGGAUAGACUCAUACUCAAUCAGGAAUCGCUUAAACUCGGUUAACUCAACGGAGAUUCCGAGUUGACUCGGUUGAACCGUUCGUGUUAACAAAAGAAAUCGUUUUUUCACUUUCGAAUCUCAGCAGAGGAACAACAAACGAGAUGUAAACCUAAAAAACCUCUGAAAAAUCAAAGAUUGUCUUCAAAAGGAAAAGUUUCUCAACAACCAUGAUGAAGAGGAAGAAAGACAUCAGUCUAACCCAUGACUGAGUCUUGGAGGUGCACAAGAAGAAGAGGUUGAGGUAUUACUAACUUCAGAACAAUCAUGGAUGUGGAGCGCCUUCGAUGGUCCCGGUGUGGUAACUGGUGUGAUGAGAAGAUUCCCUCCAUUGACGUGAGCGGCCAUCGCUGCAUCUGGUCUCUCCUCUCUCUAAUUUUGGUCUCAGUUCUCGCCUGCUUCUGUCUGCCUCCCUCCCUCCCUCUCUCUCUCUCUCUCUCCCUGGUACGGGUGAGUUAGUGAUUUGAAGAAAGGGUGGCAAUCGGUGCCAGAAAAUUGGGGAUUUGAAGACAGGGUGGUCAAUGUUUUAAUAUCAAAAUUAUUUAUAAUUGUAUAUGUUAAUAUUAGGUAAUAUAGUAUCAAAUUUUAUAGUCUUUGUUUUUUUUUAUGAUAAUAAUUUAUUAUUUUAUAUAUUAAUGGUGUGAUAUAAAUUAUAUUAGCUUAAGUAAAGUAUUAUUUUAUAUGGCAAUGAUAGCAUAUUUGAUGUAUUAAUUUAUUAUUAACAAUAUAUUCAAGUCAUUUACUAUAUUAUUAUAUUAACAUAUUAAAAUCAUUUAAUUAAUAAUAUAUACUUUGUUUAAUAAAUAUAAUUUUAUAUUAUAUUUAAACAUAAAGUGUUGUAAUCAUUUAAUCAAAAAUAAAAAUAAAAUUAAUGAUUGAAUUAUAUGUCUUUUAGUAAAAAUAUCAUUAUAGUUGAAAUAAAAUAAUUUUCAAUUCUUAACAUUAUCAUAAAUUGUUUUUGUGGAGACUUUAUAACUAUUUAAAUAAUAUUAAAUAUGAGAAAAUUUUAUUUUAUAAUUUUUUAGCUUAUUUAAUUAUAUUUGUUUUUCUAAAAAAUUUCAAAAUAUUUUUGUAAUUUUAAAAUUUUUUAGUUAUCUUAUUUUGCAUACUGCUCUAUACCAAGUCGAGAUGUUGAGACCGUUAUGCCUUGGGACCCUCCAAAUUAAUGAUUGAUAUCGUCACUUCAAUUAUAUGAAUAUAAAAAAUAAAUAUGUAAAGAAAUACCAUAAGACAUAAUAAUAGUAUUUUAAAAUAUUUUUAGCAUAUUGAUAUAUAUAUAUAUAAUUAUUUAAUAGUUAUUAAUUAUAUUUAAUGGUUUAAAAUAUUUUUUAGUUUUUAAUUACUAUAUUUUAUGUAUCAAUCAAUAUCGCACUGACAUCUUAGAUUUAAAUAACGAAAAUAGUAUCAAUUUUUGAAAAAAAAAAAAAAAAAAAAGGAAAUGGUCUUUUAAGGUUAAAGUAUGAAUCUUUAGGUUUAGAUGUUCCCAAACCUUCAAUUCUAAGUGUUGAAGACGACUUCGAAGUUGUUGGAAGUCUUGUAAAUCUACGAUUUUCUAUCUGAUGAUUUAAACCUUGAUCUUAAUGCACUUUUAGUGGAGAUCGAUGGAAGAAAGGGUGGAAACUAUGAGUCUUUCUCUUUGAAGGUGGAAGAUGACUUUCUAGAAAAAGUUAUGGAAACUUUAACCCCAAGAUCGAUGUACCUUAAGACCUUUCAAGUCAAUGACCCAUAACAUAACUUUCAACCAUAAGAUGGACACUAAAAAAAAAAGAAUUAGAGUUGGAUUUGAACACAAACCUCUUUCAAAGAAGAUAAUGUACCUAUCAUUAUGGAAAAUUAUUAUUAAAUUUGGGUGGCAAAAUAUAUCUCUUAUAUUUUAACCCCUUCCAUAAGUGACUUUGCGUAGCCGUAAAAAGAAGAACUAUAGAAAAGAUGCCUUAGGUAUCUGCCGAUUAUUAACUAUAUCUAGUAAAAGAUCUUACACGGUGUUUGAAAAACUAUAGAAGAAGAUAAAUCUUGAAGGGGAGAUCAGUGGAAAUGGAUCUAUGACUCGCCACUCCAUGAUUUAUGGGCUGCUUAAACUUUGAUGAUGGGUUAUGGGUAGCAUGAAAAUUUCAGCCAGAGGGUGGUCUAUCAAUCUUGCUUGUUUCUUCAUGUUUUCACUUGGAAUUUGCUGAUGCAUUUAUAGAUACAAUCUUACAAGGUUAGUCAAUCACAACUUGUCAGACCAUUGUAUCUAUUGGUGGUGACUUUGAAUUAGGAUUCUUUUCUCCUGGAAACUCCACAAAAUAUUAUGUGGGGAUAUGGUACAAGAAAGUGUUAGAGCAAACCAUUAUGUGGGUAGCUAACCGAGGUUAUUCAUUCACAAAUCUGUAUGUGGUUCUUACUGUCAUUCCAGAUGGUAACCUCGAGAUUUGGGAAAGGAAAAUUUCAUACAAGGUGACGAACGUAUCGUCAAAUAGAAACACCAGUGCCACCCUGUUAGAUUCAAGAAAUUUUGUUUUGAGAAAUGAGAAGUUGGAUAUCUUAUGGUAGAGCUUUGACUAUCUAUUGGACAUGAUCUUGCCUAGAAUGAACAUUGGAUAUGACAGAAGGCUGGAAAAACAUGGUCAUUGGUGUCAUGGAAGAGCACAGAAGAUCCUAGUCCAGGAGUUUUUAUUAGAGAAUUCAUUACAAUAGAUUUUCUUGUUAGCUUUUUUCCUAUAAUGUGUGGCCAUAUACAAUUAUAUUUGUAUGAAUAUUAUUUAAGGGUAUCAAUUGAUAGGUAGGUGAAUAAAUUGACUGGACAUCCAAGAGUCUUGUGUAUGGAAUACUCAAAUUUAUAAAUGGGGAGUUAGAAAAUUUAACUCAUAUGAAUGUGGUGUUACAACUUUUGUAACCCCAUCAUUAUGAAAUUUAUUUGUACAUUAUGUUUAUGAGUAAUGGAGGAAAAUGGAAAAGUAUAACCUAUGCAAUUAUAUAGAUGCAUUCAAGUUCAUAACCUAUCAUUACCCAUUAAUUUGUACAUAAUAGGUGUAAAUAAUGAGUAUAACUCCCAUAUAGUCUUUGAUGGGAAGACUAAGAGAUGUACAAUUUUUUUUAUAAGUUGAGGUCCCAAGCCACACUCUCAUUCUUAUGUCUUUUUGUUGGUUUAUUUUUAACAACAUACACCACACAAGUGACCCAUCCACUUUAUGAGAGUAGUGAGUCGAAGACCUUGCCAAUCCAAUUCAUAAGGUGACUCAAUCUCACUUCAAAAGUGUUAUUGAUAUCAUGGAUCAAGGUAAGAAUAUGAUCAUUAUUUGAAUACUUAUAUUUAUUUUGUUUUAUGCAUCCAAAAUGGCUUUAUAAAAUAAUAAUUUCAGCAUAAAGUUUAUAAAAGUUUGGUUGACAUUUCUUUCUAUUUUUAAAUUCUUCUAAUUAGUUGUAAUUUCCUAUUUUUGUUGUAAUCCCCUAAUUUUAGGAUUGUUUCCUAUCUUUGUGUUUUGGGCUAAUUCUAGGAUUGUUUCUUAUUUUUGUGUUUUAGGUUUUGUGUAUAUAUAUUCAUUCUUAAUCAAUGGAAAAGUCAAGCCAUUGUUUCUUAAUGAUCCUCUCUCUGUUUCAACAGUUUUCUCCCUAGAGCAUGACCCUAAUGGAACUAGCCAGAUUUUAUCUUGCAAGGGAACAGCAGGUACUAGACUAGUGGCUUCCGGGAUGGGCAGGUUUUCAGCCUGCUUCUUGAAAUGCGUUUAGACAAUAUAUUGAAAUACAAUUAUUCCUUUAGUAAGGAUGAGAGCUAUUUCAAUUACUCUCUCUAUAAUUCUACCAUUAUAAGCAGAGUGGUCCUGGAUGUGUCAGGGCAGAUUAAGCAAAUGACAUGGAUUGAAGACACUCAUCAAUGGAAAUUGUUUUGGUCUCAACCCAGAACACAAUGUCAGGUUUAUGCUUACUGUGGGCCUUCUAGAAUCUGCAAUCUGGAUUCCUAUGAGUAUUGUGAAUAUUUGCCUGGUUUUGAACCUCGCUCCCCCGGAAACUGGGAAUUGCAAGACGGAUCUGGAGGGUAUGUGAGGGAAGCAGAUUUGCAGUGUGUCAACGGAAGUCAUGGUGAUGGGGAGAGAGACCAGUUUCUUUUGGUGUCUAAUGUAAGACUGCCCGAGUAUCCACUAACAUUGCAAGCAAGAGUGCCAUGGAUUGCGAGUCAGCCAGCCUGAAUAACUGCUCUUGCUCUGCUUAUGUUUAUGACAGCGAGGAGUGUACAGUAUGGAGUGGAGAUCUUCUAAACCUGCAACAGCUGUCGGAUUCUGACAGUAAUGCUGGAGAUUUCCAUCUCAAACUUGCUGACUCUGAGCAAAAUAGGAGAGGUAAGAAAAAGGGAAUGCUCAUACUAGUUGUUGUAGGACAUAAAGCAUAUAAAAUGGCUAUUGAUUCAGUUAAGUUAAAUGUCAUAUAUUUCCUUCUACAGUUUCAAGCAGCAAGUAGAAGCUAUGGCUCAUUGUUACACUAGCCAUUUCUGUAACUUUAGCCUUUGUCACAUUUGGAAUAUGGAGAAGGCUCCAAAGAAAAGGUCAGUAUUUCUCAUGGAUAGAAGAUGACCAAGCAAUUCAAGGCUAUUUAGAUUCCAUCAACACAUACAAAACCAUUUCUUGUCUGAUAUGAAUUCAUUACCAUUGUUGUAGAAUAAUUAAGUUCAUAUUAGAGUUUCAAUCUCCUGAUUACAGUAUUGAAUUAGCUUAUUCCCAUGCCAGAAUUCCUACAUUCGUAAGGAAUUUAGCAUCUGUUUGUUCUUUACCAAGCAGGGGAAGAUUUGUUACUGUUUGAUUUCAGUGACAACUCAGAAAAUACCAACCAUGAACUUAGUGAGGCAAAAAAGGUUGGAAAGGAGAGAAGAAGGAAGUUGAUUUGCCAAUCUUCAGUUUUGCGAGUGUAUCUGCUGCUACCAAUGACUUCUCUAUUGAAAAUAAACUAGAAGAGGGAGGUUUUGGACCAGUUUAUAAGGUGAGCUUAGUAUGACUAACAGUAAUGCCUCUCAGAAAAGAAAUGUGAAAAUUUUUGCUACUGUUCUACAAUCCCUCAACUGUAAAUGCCCAUUAGGCAAACACAAAUUUUCUUUUACUUGUGUGGUUGUUGUACUCAGUUGAAAUCCCCAUGACAAGGAAAGUCACAAAGAGGAUAUGAGGUAGUUGUGAAAAGACUUUCAAAAAGAUCUAGACAAGGUUGGGAGGAGUUAAAAAAUGAAACCAUGCUUAUAGCCAAGCUCCAACAUAAGAAUCUUGUUAGACUUUUGGGCUGCUGCAUUGAGCUAGAUGAGAAGAUAUUGAUUUAUGAGUAUAUGCCCAAUAAAAGCUUAGAUUUCUUCCUUUUUGGUUUGUAGUUCUCAACAUAUCUAAACUUUUGUUUAUCCUAUGCUCAAUAAAAAGCUUUUUUCAUUCAUUGUUGUUGGCCUCUUAUUUACUAACACCAGUUUGUAUUUAUUUGGUGUAAAAUAGGGAUAGAUCCUGCAAGACAUGGGAUUCUAGAUUGGGAGACACACAUUCACAUAAUUGAAGGGGUUGCUCAGGGAUUUCUUUAUUUCCAUCAGUACUCUAGAUUGAGGAUUAUUCAUUGAGAUCUGAAGGCUAGCAACAUUCUUUUGGAUAUAGACAUGAACCCCAAAAUAUCAGAUUUUGGAAUGGCAAGAAUUUUUGGAGGAAAUUAGUUGAUAGCAACAAAUCAUAUUAUCGGGACUUGGUAAGUGAAUCCUUGCAAACCGUAAAAUAUGUGGAUUCUCACAUAACAUGGCCUUUCUUUUAUAUAUAUAUAUAUACAUUUUUGUCACAAGGCAACUACUAAAUGAUUUGUUCUAAUAAUGAAAUUCAGUGGCUACAUGUCCCUUGAAUAUGCUUUCGAAGGCCUCUUUUCAACUGAAUCAGAUGUCUUUAGCUUCAGGGUCUUGUUACGGGAGAUUCUAAGAGGCAAAAAGAAUACCAGAUUUUACCAGAGUGACUCACUCAAUCUUCUUGGAUAUGUGAGUAACACAAUCUACAAUGUUCUAAUAUGUUAAUUCUUGAUUUACUAGUCAGUAAAUUUUCACAUCUUGUUUACUAGUCAAUUUUAAGCUGAUGUUCUUUGCAUGCAAUAAAAAGGACUAUACAUCUGUUUUUCUUUUUUGGAAAUUUGCAUCAAGAGAACAUUUUCUUUUCUUCAGGCAUGGGAUCUGUGGAAAAACAACAUAGGGCUGGACUUGAUGGAUCCAGUAUUGAGUUGGGAGGCACGGGUUCACAUCAUUCAAGGGGUGGCUCAGGGGACUUCUUUAUCUCCAUUAGUACUCUAGAUUGAGAAUUAUUCAUCGAGAUUUGAAGACUAGCAACACUCUUUUGGAUAAGAACAUGAACAAAACAUAUAGUUGGGACUUAGUAAGUGAAUAGUAACACAUUGUAAACAAUUCAAAACAUGUUAAAACAUUAUCAUACUCAUUUUUAUGUGGAAUUUAAAUUUUUAAAAUUUAGUACAAAACAAUUUGCGCUUAUAGCUUUUUAAAUAAGAAAACUAUUAUAUAUUUUUAAAAUAAAAUAAUGCAAUUGUGGCAUGUGAAGAAAUUUUUAUUUUUAUGGAUAAAUAUAUUUUACAAAUUUUAUAUAAAUUUAUUUUUUAUUUAUAUAUAUAUUUUUUUCAAUGUUUUUAGAAUCAAAUCAAUCAUUGAAUCAAAAAAGUUAUUGGUCCACGAUUCAUUGGUUGGAUCGGUGGUCGAACCAUGAUUGAAUUAGUGAUGUUAUAAAUAAGUAAUUUAUAUAUUAUUAAAAUUAAAAAUAUUAUAUAAAAUUUUUUAGAUAUAUAAAAAAAUAAAAAUCAAUAAUAUUUAUUUUUCAUCUUUAAUAUUAUCAAAUUAACAUAUAGAUAUAUUAAUAUUUUAACAUUUGAUUAAAUAAUAUAUAUAUAUAUAGAUAAUAUUUAAAUAUAAAAAUAUUUGUUGAAGGUUAUUUAAUUUCCUUUAUAUAUGUUACACUAUUUUAUUUAUAUUAUUUACAUUUUCACUCUUAUUCAAAAUUUAUGAGAAUUUUAUUAUAUAACGUUGUUGUGUCUGGCAUGUAUAUAACACGCACAGCAAAGUGGUGGUGUGUAUGCGUUUUGAACCCAAGGUUAGUUGUUCAAACCCAUGAGCUGCAGCCCAAGAUAUGGCACAUCUUGCACUAUGUUUGAGCCCAUUUUACCCAAUAAAAAUAUCCAUGAAAGAAGAGAAAACUCAUGAGCGGGCCGGCAUUCCGGCCCAAUUAGGCUACCCGGACUGGAUUAGGCUCCAGUUGAUGGUUGAACUGGCCAAUCCAAAACAUUGAUUUUUUUAUCUCAAUAUUCGUAUCUUAUUUAUUUCAUAUAAACUUUGAAAUUAUUCAUUUAAAUAACAAUUAUCCAUUAUCCAUUUAAAACCAAUCAUCCUCACAUUUCCAAAUGAAAAGUGAAUAUCACAUUGGAUGCAUUGAAUUGUUGUUUCCCUACCACCACCCCUUUUAACUUCUCUUCACUUUGACAUCACAACUUAAAACUAUUUUUUUGGGAUGUUGAGAUGAGAUCAUGAGACAAGCGUUCAGAGGACGUGUUGAGAGUUUCUGAUAUCUUCCACGACAGCUAAGACCAUGAAUCUGAAGAGAAAGAACUGAAGAAGAGGGAGGAAAGUGAGAGUUGGUUACUCCCUUAGUUUUCAAAUUUAGAAUGGAUGAUGAAGAUGUCAUAUUACACAUCCAAUGGGUUCAAUAAAUUCUUGGGUACCUACACAGACUGUUUCGUAGAAUUUUCCUAAAAGAUAUUUUGAAAGGUAGAUCGAUGGAAAGGAGACUUUGACUUACCAGUCGCCGGGCCGCCUCAGAUCCGCUACUGCCUGUUUUGGAUGGCUAUAAUAUUAUUGAUGGGCUGCGUAAACGCUGCUUAUGAGUUAUGGGUAGCAUGAAAUUUUCAACGAGAAGGUGUUCUGCUAAUUAUCUUGUUUUCUUGCUUAUUUCUUCAGGUUUUCACUGGCAAUUUGCUGAUGCAUUUACAGAUACAAUCUUACAAGGUCAGUCAAUCACAACCUCUCAGACCAUCAUAUCUGCUGCUGGUAACUUUGAAUUAGGAUUCUUCUCGCCUGGAAACUCCACAAAUUAUUAUGUGGGGAUAUGGUACAAGAAAGUCUCAAACCAAACCAUUGUCUGGGUGGCUAACCGAGAGUAUGCGUUCAAAAAUCGGUCUGUGGUUCUUACUGUCAGGACAGAUGGUAACCUCGAGGUUUGGGAGGGGAAAAUUUCAUACAGGGUGACAAGCAUAUCAUCAAAUAGCAAAACUAGUGCCACCCUGUUGGAUUCUGGAAAUCUUGUUUUGAGAAAUGACAACUCGAGUAUCUUAUGGCAAAGCUUUGACUAUCCAUCGGACACUUUCUUGCCGGGGAUGAAACUUGGAUACGACAAAAGGGCUGGAAAAACAUGGUCAUUAGUGUCAUGGAAGAGCUCAGAAGAUCCCAGUCCAGGAGUUUUCUCCCUGAAGUACGACCCUAAGGGAACCGGCCAGAUUUUUAUCUUGCAAGGGUCCACAAUGUACUGGGCUAGUGGCACCUGGGACAGGGAUGGGCAGGUUUUCAGCUUGAUUCGUGAGAUGCGCUUAAACUAUAUGUUUAAUUUCAGUUAUUCGUUUAGUAAGGAGGAGAGCUAUAUCAAUUACUCUAUUUAUGAUUCUUCAACUAUAAGCAGAUUGGUGCUGGAUGUGUCAGGGCAGAUUAAGCAAAUGGCAUGGCUUGAAGCCUCUCAUCAAUGGCAUAUGUUUUGGUUUCAACCAAAAACGCAAUGUGAGGUUUAUGCUUACUGUGGGCCUUUUGGAAUCUGCAAUGAUAGUGCAGUUGAUGGAUUUUGUGCAUGUUUGCCAGGUUUUGAACCUGCCUCCCCUAAUAACUGGAACUCGGGUGACAAAUCUGGAGGGUGUGUGAGGAAAGCAGAUUUGCAGUGUGGCAAUAGUACUCAUGCUAAUGGGGAGAGAGACCAGUUUCAUCGGGUGUCUAAUGUGAGACUGCCAGAGUAUCCACUAACACUCCCAACGAGUGGUGCCAUGCAGUGCGAGUCAGAUUGCCUAAAUAACUGCUCUUGCUCUGCUUAUUCUUACAACGUGAAGGAGUGUACAGUAUGGGGUGGAGAUCUUCUAAACUUGCAACAGCUAUCAGAUGACGACAGUAAUGGUCGAGAUUUCUAUCUCAAACUUGCGGCCUCUGAGCUAAAUGGGAAAGGCAAUAAAAGUAGGGAAUGGUCAAACUUUUUUUUGUAGAAGGACAGAGCAUAUGAUUUUCUUUUUCUUAAAUAUAAGAUGAAGUUCAUCAAAGAUUAGUUACAUUUAUUUCUUUUUGCAGUUUCUAGCAGCAAGUGGAAGGUGUGGCUAAUUGUUACACUGGCCAUUUCCCUAACUUCGGCCUUUGUCAUUUGGGGGAUAUGGAGAAAGAUCCGAAGAAAAGGUCAGUAUUUUUCAUGGAUAGAAGAUUAUCAAGCAAUUCAAGGGUAUUUAGAUUCCAUCUACACAUACAAAACCAUUUGUUUUCUGCAAUGAGCUCAUUACCAUUAUUGUAGAAUAAUUAAGGCCAUAUUAUGAUUUCAACCUCCUGAUUACAUGUGUGUGUACCUGCACUACAGUGUGAUAAAAAUCAAUAAUGAAUCAAUUUAUUCCCAUGCCAGAAUUCCUACAUUCUUAUGAUACUUGACAUCUGUUUCUUCUUUAUCAAGCAGGGGAAAAUUUGUUACUAUUUGAUUUCAGUAACAGCUCAGAAGAUACCAACUAUGAACUUAGUGAGGCAAAUAAACUUUGGAGAGGCGAGAAGAAGGAAGUUGAUUUGCCAAUGUUCAGUUUUGCGAGUGUAUCUAUUGCUACUAAUAACUUUCUAUUGAAAAUAAACUAGGAGAGGGUGGUUUUGGACCAGUUUACAAGGUGAGAUUAGUAUUUGUGAAUCUUCUUGGUAUAUACAAUUUUUCUUUUACUUGGUGUCAUUGUACUAAGUUGAAAUUCCCAUGACAGGGAAAGUCACAAAAAGGAUAUGAGGUAGCUGUGAAAAGGCUUUCAAAAAGAUCUGGACAGGGAUGGGAGGAGUUAAAGAAUGAAGCCAUGCUUAUAGCCAAGCUGCAACAUAAGAAUCUUGUGAAGCUGUUCGGCUGCUGCAUUGAGCAAGAUGAGAAGAUAUUGAUUUAUGAGUAUAUGCCCAACAAAAGCUUGGAUUUCUUCCUAUUUGGUUUGUAACUUCUGGCUACUGUAUAUUCAAUAAAAAACCAUUCAGUAUCAUUCACCACUUAUUUGCUAACAUGAGUUUAUAUUUAUUUGGUGUAAAAUGGAAAUAGAUUCUGCAAAUCAUGGGAUUUUGAAUUGGGAGACACGGGUUCACAUCAUUGAAGGGGUUGCUCAGGGUCUUCUUUAUCUACAUCAGUACUCUAGAUUGAGGAUUAUUCAUCGAGAUUUGAAGGCUAGCAACAUUCUUCUAGAUAAGGACCUGAAUCCUAAAAUAUCAGACUUUGGAAUGGCAAGAAUAUUUGGGAGCAACGAAUCAAAAGCAACAAAUCAUAUAGUUGGGACUUAGUAAGUGAAGCCUAACAAAUUCUAAAAUAUGUGAAUGCUCAUACAACUUUUUUUUUUCUUUUUUCUGCACAUAUAUUUAGAAUCAUGCAGCUACUAAAUCAUUUUGUAAUUAAUAAUCAAACCCAGUGGCUACAUGUCCCCUGAGUAUGCUUUGGAAGGCCUCUUUUCGACUAAAUCUGAUGUCUUUAGCUUCGGGGUUUUAUUACUAGAGAUUUUGAGUGGCAAGAAGAAUACUGGAUUUUACCAAAGCGACUCCCUCAAUCUUCUCGGAUAUGUGAGUAACACAAUAUUUCCUCAUUGGUUGUCUUGGGCUACUGGUAAAUUUUCACAUUAUGUUUACCACACAGUUUGAAAACUUAUUUCAUAUGAUUGGCUACUAUAGAAAGGACUUUAUUAUCUUUUACUUUUUAGGAAUUUGCUUCAAUGGAUAAUUUUCUUUAUUUUAGGCAUGGGAUCUGUGGAAAGACAGCAGGGGGCAGGAAUUGAUGGAUCCAGUGUUGGAAGAGGCAUUGCCAAGACACAUUCUGUUGAAGUACAUCAAUAUAGGCCUUCUUUGUGUUCAAGAAAGUGCAGAUGACAGGCCUACGAUGUCUGAUGUUGUCUCAAUGCUUGGCAAUGAAAGUUUACAUUUACCUUCUCCAAAACAACCGGCAUUUUCAAAUCUGAGAAGUGGGGUGGAACCACAUAUAUUUCAAAACAGGCCUGAAAUGUGUUCCUUAAAUAGUGUGACACUUUCAAUUAUGGAAGCACGAUAAUGGUUCAGAACUUAAUAAAUAAUGUGCUUAAAUUUCAGCAUAUUGUCUUGCGUUGUUUUUGUGAAUUCAUAGCUCAUGUAUUGAAAUGGACAUGUAAUCUGUGUGAAUUUUUCUUCCAAAACACUUCAAUAAUCAUUCAGACCUGUGUCUAAUAUUUUUAUCUGAAACUGUUAUGAAGUCUGAUUUUAUCCAGUUGAAUUUGGAUUUAAUUUGAUUAUGAUCUGUACCCUCAUCAAUCCAAAGAGUGAAGGACAAUUUUCAGAGCUCAAAACCAACAAAUGGCACCUUUAGGGCCAAUCCAGCUAUAGAGAGUCAACUAUCCACCUUCCACUUAUUCUCUUAUAUGUGUUUCCAAAUGCCCUGGCAUAUGUAUAGCAUGUACAGAUACAGUUCUGUACUACUGUAUAUUUACUACGAGACUGACUAAGUUCUACUGUUUUGACAAUAGUGCAGUGUAUAUAUCUUGCAAGAAUAUUCUAUGGAGCAUAAUUCCUUUGUGAAAUCAGAUGUUUCCAGCUAAGGAGUUGAUUGUGAAUCCUGUGACAAGAGGAACUCGAAAUAUUACCUCUCACUGAGAAUCCUGUGAAUUGAAACCUCCUUAACAUCUACCAUAUGAAAAUGAAUGAUUUUUUUUUUUUUUUUUUCUGUAAUUUUAUGUAUUAGCAUGGUAAGUGAAUUCAGUUUUCACUGGGCAUCUGAAAGAAGAUAAUUUGAAACAGUUUUUGGUAUGGGGAAUGGGGUAUGAGGACAAGAUGCUGUAAUUGAUGGAUAUGUCAGUGGGGAAAGAAAUUAUCAGAACCCAGGUGUAGGUAUUAACUUAGCUAUAAUGGGGGAAGGGAGUGAACAGAAGCAGGGUUAGCUUCAAUUUCAGAUUCAUAUCAUACAGUGCUUCAUUCAACUAGUAAUAGCGAAGACAAUUCAGCUACUCAGCAUAGGAGGGAGGAAUUAGUUAAGCAGUUGUAGAUUUUUCGCCUUCCAAAUCCAAAGUGAUUAGACAAUUUUCCAGAAAAAAAAAAGUGGUAUAACGUUUCCUGUGACUUAUAACACUUCCCAUUUGUUUGGACAUAGUUUGAGUAAAACCCCUUUGGUUGCCAAGAAAACCAAGGAAAAUGCAAAAGAGAAAUAACUUGAAGUCUACAAUUUCUGUAGUUUAUGAUGGAAAGCUCAAGUUCAAGCUCAAGUAAGGCUAAACGAGCCCAUUGAGCCUCUCUCAUCUCUACAACAUAGACUUCAAAAGCAAAAUGGGUGAAAUAAUGGUCAUUUAUGGGCCCCUGCGCUUAGCUUGGGGAUCAGUUUCAUUGAAUAUUUUAGGAGAGAGAACAUAUAUCAAGUCAAAAAGUAGAUAAUUACAAACUAAUUUUGCCGUCCAGCAUAGAAAAUCUAAUCCCAGUGGGGCCUCAAGUACAUGAAUUUAGUGUUCUUUCCAUAAUUCUUCUCAUUCUGGGCAUGGUCUAGAUUGAAGAAAGGUCCGAUACAAAUUGGAAAAGUCAUAGAAGGAAAUAUAUCUAGGAGGGAAUCCUAACAAAAGGUCUUUCAAAACUGCUACACCUUGCUUUGAAUGGUAGUUGGUCUCUGCAUUGAAUGAGUUUUUUUUUUCCUAUGUACCCUGGAGACAGAAAAUCUGAAAACAUUUCUAAAUGGUUCUCCAAAAUACAGUGCAUGGGAGGUUCCAAGACUUUGAGGGAAAGAAAAGCAGCAGAACCAGCUGGGGAAAAUCAGCAUGAAAAGGAUCAUUUCCUACCACUCUAAUGUUGUUUAAUCUAUUCAACCACGGAAAUUAGGAAAGACUUUGACGAAAAUGAUGCGAUCGCGGUCAAGUUCUGCUACCUGCUACAUUGAAUUAUGCUUAUCUAGGGAAGAUGCAUUAAAGUCUUAGAGCAUUUGAGAUUUUUUUUUUCUUUUUUUCUUUUAAGACACAAUUAAUUGUCCAUAAAUUAAUAGAUUGGGAACAAGGAAAAUCAAUUAAUUAAGUGAAUAUUAAUUGUGUAUUAAUUAAUAAAUCAUUAAUUUAUCAAGAUAGUUCUUAUUUUUUCAAAAUAUUGUAUUUAAUAUUAUUUAUUAUAAUUGUUUGGAAGUGUCCCAAUUUCCUAAUUAGUAUAAAUUUAUUUUUUGUAAAGAAUAUUAUAUGAAUAUUUUUAGGUUAAUAUAUUAUUGUAAUAUUAGAUUUUCUUAUAGGGUAAGGAAGGUUAUUGGAAAUAUCUUUAUACAUAUUCUAGGUCAUGAGGAGAAAAAGUUAUGAGAUGGAAAUGGGUAUGUAAAGAUUAUACGGGGUAAAUAGAGAUGUGAGGAAGAACGGGAGGUACUCGGUGGAGCGAGAUGACUUGUGGUAGGGUAGGGAUACGAAGAGUAGGAAAACAUGAGAUGUUUCGAGAACCCAAUAAUUGUAUCUGGUUAUGUCCUCUAUAAUGUUUUGGUUCUAUCCUCUGUAAUGUUCUCUAUUGUAUAGUGGAAUGAUUCUCUCUCAUCUGUGGACGCAGACAUGGUUGGCCAGAUGUGAUGAGGGAGCAGCAACACCACUCUUCAUCUCUGAACUAGACUGUGAUGUAGACUUUGGGAUGGAUCUUGACCCCAACUCAACCUCCACCUGUGUGCUUGAUUUUUGUUACUCUUUAUCACAAGAAUCUCUAAAAGAUGAGUCAUGAAGCAUAGUAGUUUCAUAAAAAAUAACAUCUCUAUUGACCAUGACUUUCUUGGUUUUUAGACACCAUAGCUUAUAUCCUUUAACACUAGAAUUAUAGCCAAGGAAGACACAUUUUAUAGACCUAGGUUCUAGUUUUCCAUUAUCAACAUGAGUAUAGGCAGGACAUCUAAAUACCUUCAAAUCAAAGUAACUAGCAGGAGUACUAGACCAAACCUCUUGUAGAGUUCUUUUGUUAAUAGUAGUUGAGGGAUAACGAUGAAUGAGGAAACAAGAUGUAGCUUUAGUCCAAAAAGACUUAGGUAAACCAACAAUGGAAAGCAUACAAUGUACUUUCUCCAUCAAAGUCCUAUUCAUUUGCUCUACCACACCGUUUUGCUGCGAGAUAUGACGAACUAUAUGAUGCCUUGCGAUUUCUUUUGACUUGCAUAGAUCAUUAAAUUCAUAAGAACAAAACUCCAAGCCAUUAUCAGUGCGAAGACGUUUUACCUGCUUCCAUGUCUGCUUCUCAAUCAUAAUCGUCCACUCCUUGAAUGUAGCUAACAUAUCACUCUUUUUCUUCAAGAAGAACACCCAAACUUUUUUGGAAAAAUCAUCAAUGAUAGUUAACAUAUAACUAACACCUCCCUUAGAAGGCACCCUAGAUGGUCCCCGAAGAUUAGAAUGUAUAUAAUUGAGUGUCCUCUUUGUUUUGUGAAUGUCUUUUGUGAAUUUGACUCUUCUCUGCUUCCCAAAAACGCAGUGCUCAUAGAACUUCAGUUUUCUAAUACUCUGACCAUUAAGAAGUCCGCUUUUGCUCAAUUCAAUCAUCCCAUUCUCACUCAUAUGCCUAAGGCGCAUAUGCCAAAGUCUAGUAACAUCACCAUCUAAUAAGGAAGAAGUAGCAACAAUUACAUCACUUAUAACUGUGGAUCCCUACAAGACAUAUAAUUUGGUAGAUCUUUUCUGCCAUUUCAUCACAACAAGAACACAUUUACUAACCUUUAAGACUCCACCUUCACCAGUAUACUUGUACCCUUUUGAAUCAAGAGUACUCAAUGAGAUAAAGUUCCUCUCUAGAUUUGGAAUGUGUCUCAUAUCACCAAACAUAGAUGAACAUUCAAGAAUAAAGAUUAGAAUUAGAUUUGAACCCAAACAUCAUUUAAAUAAGAGAUUGUAUAGGUCAUUAUGGAAGAUUAUUAUUAAAUUUGGCCCGAAAAAUAAAUCUCUUACAUUUUACUCCCUACUAUACUUACCACCAGCCUAAAAAGAAGAAAUGUGGGCCUAAUGAGGGGUUUUUUUUUUUUUUUGUUGAUAUUUUCCAUUUAUAUAACUAACUUGAACAAUGUUGUACCCUUAAAAGUAGAAAAGAUCCUUGUAGUAUUCUUUGGUUUAUUAUGGUUAUGUUUGGUUAUGAGAAAAUUUAAAGGAAAAUGUGAAGAAAAUAAAAUAGAAAAGAAAAAUAAAAGGAAAGAAAAUUAAAAAUGGGUUUAAAUUCAAUGAAUUAUUUUUAUAUGCUUCUCCAAAUUCAUUUCACUUUUUUUUCUUCAUUAUAGUAAGAUUAAAUAAUUUAAAAAUAUAUAAAAUUUUAACUAAUUUUAUUUUAUUUUGUAUUUUUUCAUAAUGAAACUAAAUAUAAGAAAACUAUUUUUCUUAACUUUUUUUUCUUAAUAUUUUCCGGAGACUAAAUAUAGCCUAGAUGUAUCUAGUAGAAAGAUCCAACAUGGGGUUGGAAAAAAAUCAUAGAAGAAGAUAUAUCUUGAAGGGGAGAUCAAAGGAUAUUAAAUGGGACUAUGACCCACACCUCCUAGAUUUAUGGGCUGCUUAAUGGAACAAACCAGAUUUUUAUCCACCAUAUUGAAUAUUGAAUAUGGUAUUCUUCCAAUUAUUAAAUGUAUUUAGCGAAAAGGUCCAAUUGUUAGUAAAAGAAGAACAGGUCAAACUAUCGUAUUAGGGUGCUAUGAGUGAGAUUGUGAUUACAUCAACUUUUAAUUAUUUAGAAUAUUGUCCAUUAUAUAUUUUAAAUUUUUAUAAUAUUAAUUUAUUUUAUUGAUUAAGAAUUAGAAUUUAAUGUAUACUUAACAUUAAAAUCUUAUAUAGUUCCAAUUUCAUACAAGUAACUAAAUUUUUUAUAUUGAUCUCAUCUCUGCACCCAAAUGCCCAUUUCCUCUUGAAGAUUAAAAAUUAAAAAUAAAAAUUAAUCCAUCUAACAACCAAGUUAAAAUGUAUUUAUAUAUCAUAAAAAAAUCAUCACCGAAUAAACCAAUAACCAUAAAAAUAAAAAUGGAAAAUCAUCGAUAAAUAAAUCAAAACAAAAUAUAAAAAGAAAUUAAUAUUUUCAUGGUUGAUUAACCCUAUGAGUUGGAUGAUAAAAGCGUUAAUAUCGAGUGGAAAGGAGACUUUGACUCACCGGUCGUUGGGCCUCAGGUCUGCCACUGCCUGUUUUGGAUGGCUAUAAGAUUAUUGAUGGGCUGCUUAAACGCUGCUUAUGAGUUAUGGGUAACAUGAAAAUUUCAACCAGAAGGUGGUCUGCUAAUCUUGUUUUCUUGCUUAUUUCUUCAGGUUUUCACUGGCAAUUUGUUGAUGCAUUUACAGAUGCAAUCUUACAAGGUCAAUCACUCACAACCUCUCAGACCAUCGUAUCCGCUGGUGGUAACUUUGAAUUAGGUUUCUUUUCUCCUGGAAAGUCCACAAAAUACUAUGUGGGGAUAUGGUACAAGAAAAUCUCAGAGCAAACCAUUGUGUGGGUAGCUAACCGAGACUAUUCAUUCACAAAUCCAUCCGUGGUUCUUACUGUCAGCACAGAUGGCAACCUCGAGAUUUUGGAGGGGAAGAUUUCGUACAAGGUGACAAGCAUAUCAUCAAACAGCAACACUAGUGCCACCCUGUUGGAUUCUGGAAAUCUUGUUUUGAGAAAUAAGAAGUCAGAUGUCUUAUGGGAGAGCUUUGACUAUCCAUCGCACACUUACCUGCCGGGGAUGAAGCUUGGGUACGACAAAAGGGCUGGAAAAACAUGGUCAUUGGUGUCAUGGAAGAGCGCAGAAGAUCCCAGUCCAGGAGAUUUCUCCCUGCAGGUCGACCCUAAUGGAACUAGCCAGAUUUUUAGCCUGCAAGGACCCAACAGGUAUUGGACUACUGGGGUGUGGGAUGGGCAGAUUUUCACCCAGGUUCCUGAGAUGCGUUUGCCCGACAUGUAUAAGUGCAAUAUAUCCUUUAAUGAGAAUGAAAUCUAUUUGACUUACUCUCUUCAUAAUCCCUCCAUUCUGAGCAGACUGGUGCUAGAUGUGUCAGGCCAGAUUAGGUCUCUGAAUUGGCAUGAAGGCACACGUGAAUGGGAUUUAUUUUGGCUUCAACCAAAAACACAGUGUGAGGUUUAUGCUUACUGUGGGCCUUUCGGAACCUGCACUCGGGAUUCUGUUGAAUUUUGUGAAUGCUUGCCAGGUUUUGAACCUCGCUUCCCUGAAGACUGGAAUCUGCAAGACAGAUCUGGAGGGUGUGUGAGGAAAGCAGAUUUGCAGUGUGUCAAUGAAAGCCAUGCUAAUGGGGAGCGAGACCAGUUUCUUUUGGUGUCUAACGUGAGACUGCCCAAGUAUCCAGUAACACUGCAAGCAAGGAGUGCUAUGGAGUGCGAAUCAAUUUGCCUGAAUCGCUGCUCUUGCUCUGCUUAUGCUUAUAAGAGAGAGUGUAGAAUAUGGGCUGGAGAUCUUGUAAACGUGGAGCAGCUACCAGAUGGUGACAGUAAUGGUAGAAGUUUCUAUAUCAAACUUGCUGCCUCUGAGCUAAAUAAGAGAGGUAAGAAAAAAGAGUCAUAGUUGUUAUUGUAGGAGGACAUAAAGCAUAUGGGUCUUGUUUUAUUUUCAAUAUAAAAUGGCCAUCGAUUCAGCUAAAUUUAAUAUGAUAUAUUUCCUUCUACAGUUUCAAGCAGCAAGUGGAAGGUAUGGCUAAUUAUUACACUGGCCAUAUCUUUAACUUCAGCCUUUGUCAUUUAUGGGAUAUGGGGAAGGUUCCGAAGAAAAGGUCAGUAUUUCUCAUGGACAGACGGAUGGCCAAGCGAUUCAACCGUUUUUAGGUUCCAUCUACAAAUAAAAAACCAGUUCUUUUCUGAAAUGAGUUCAUUAGCACUGUUAUUGAAUAGUUAAGGUAACAUUAGGAUUUCAUGUUCUGAUUACAUGUACUGUGUAUGUGGAAUCCAAUGUGAGAAAUAAUUUAUUCACAUGCCAGAAUUCCUACAUUCAUAUGAUAUUUAAUGUCUGUUUGUUCUUUACCAAGCAGGGGAAGAUUUGUUAGUAUGUGGAAUCCAAUGUGAGAAAUAAUUUAUUCACAUGCCAGAAUUCCUACAUUCAUAUGAUAUUUAAUGUCUGUUUGUUCUUUACCAAGCAGGGGAAGAUUUGUUAGUAUUUGAUUUCGGUAACAGCUCAGAAGAUACCAGCUAUGAGCUUGACGAGACAAAUAGACUUUGGAGGGGCGAGAAAAGGGAAGUUGAUUUGCCCAUGUUCAGUUUUGCGAGUGUAUCUGCUUCUACAAAUAACUUCUCUAUUGAAAAUAAACUAGGAGAGGGCGGUUUUGGAUCUGUUUACAAGGUUAGAUUACAACCCCUGACAAUAAUGUUCUACAAUCUAUCCUGGAAUGUAAAGGCCCACUUGAUAUAUACCAAAUUUCUUUUACUUGCUGUAAUUGUACUUAGUUGAAAUUCCAAAGACAGGGAAAGUCACAAAGAAGAUAUGAAGUAGCUGUGAAAAGGCUCUCUAAAAGAUCUAAACAGGGAUGGGAGGAGUUAAAAAAUGAAGCCAUGCUUAUAGCCAAGCUGCAACACAAGAAUCUUGUGAAAGUUUUGGGAUAUUGCAUCGAGAGGGAUGAGAAGAUAUUGAUUUACGAGUAUAUGUCCAACAAAAGCUUGGAUUUCUUCCUCUUUGGUUUGUAACUUCCACAUACAUAUACUUCCAGCUACUAUAUAUUCAAUGAGAAAACUUUACACAUUCAUCAUUUUUCACCACUUAUUUGCUAACAUCUAUUUAUUUGGUGUAAAAUGGAGAUAGAUCCUACAAAACAUGGGAUUCUAAAUUGGAAGACACGAGUUCACAUCAUUGAAGGGGUUGCUCAGGGACUUCUUUAUCUGCAUCAGUACUCCAGAUUGAGGAUUAUUCAUCGAGAUUUAAAGGCUAGCAACAUUCUUCUGGAUAAGGAUAUGAAUCCUAAAAUAUCAGAUUUUGGAAUGGCAAGAAUAUUUGGAGGCAACGAAUCAAAAGUAACAAAUCAUAUAGUUGGGACUUAGUAAGUGAAACUUGACAAAUUAUAAAAUAUGUGAAUGUUCAUACAACAUUUGAAAUCAUGCAGCUAUUGAAUGAUUUUUCUCAUUAAUAAUCAAAUCCAGUGGCUAUAUGUCCCCUGAGUAUGCUUUGGAAGGUCUAUUCUCCACUAAAUCUGAUGUCUUUAGCUUUGGGGUCUUGUUAUUGGAGAUUUUGAGUGGCAAGAAGAAUACUGGAUUUUACCAAACCGACUCGCUCAAUCUUCUUGGAUAUGUGAGUAACACAAUAUUUAUUCACUUACAUAACUAUUUAUGAUGUUUUGAUAUGCUAAUUCCUAGUUUUCAAUUCCCUUGUUAUAUUACCUAUCCAGUUGUCUUGGGAUACUAGUAAAUUUUCACAUUAUGUCUACCACUCAGUUUCAAGGCUUAUUUUAUAUUGUUGGCUGAUAUAAAAAGGACUUUAUUAUCUUUUACUUUUCGGGAAUUUGCAUCAAUGGAUAAUUUUCUUCAUUUAGGCAUGGGAUCUGUGGAAAGAUAGUAGGGGGCUGGAGUUGAUGGAUCCAGGGUUGGAAGAGACAUUGCCAACACACAUUCUGUUGAGGUACAUCAAUGUAGGCCUUCUUUGUGUUCAAGAAAGUGCAGAUGAUAGGCCUACCAUGUCUGAUGUUGUCUCAAUGCUUGGCAAUGAAAGUGUACGUUUACCUUCUCCAAAACAACCGGCAUUUUCAAAUCUGAGAAGUGGGGUGGAACCACAUAUAUCCCAAAACAGGCCUGAAGUUUGUUCCUUAAAUGGUGUGACACUUUCAGUUAUGGAAGCACGAUAAUGGUUCAGAACUUAAUAAAUAAUAUGCUUAAAUUUUAGCAUAUUGUCUUGUAUUGUUCUUGGUGAAUUCAUAGCUCAAAUACUAAAAUGGACAAGUGACCUUAUGUGUGAAUUUUUCUUCCAAAACAGUUUAAUAAUCAUCUUGUACUCAAUCCCUAUGGAUUCAGACCUGUGUCUCAUCUUUCAAUCUGGAAUUGCUACUAAAUCUGACUUUAUCCGGUCAAAUUUGGAUUUAAUUUGAAAAUGAUCUGUUCCAUUGUCAAUCCAAAGAGUAAAAUGCAACUUUUUUCAUUGCUUAGUAGCUAACAAAAGGUGCCUUUGGGGCCAAUCCAGCUAUAGAGAAUCAACCACCCACCUUCCACUUCCUCUCUUAUGGAUGUUUCUGAAUGCCCUGGCAUAUGUAUAUCAUGUACAUAUACACCACCAAUUUGGCCUGGGAUGAGUUUCAUCGAAUAUUUCAGGAGACAACAUAAAACAAUCAAAAAGUAGAUAAUUAUGAACUAAUUGGCCAUCCAGGACAGAAAAUCCAUCUCCCAAUGGGGCCUUAAAGCACUUGAAUUUACUGUUCAUUCCAUCAUUAUUUUCGUUCUAGGCAUGGUCUAGAUUGAAGAAAGGUCCCAUACAAAUUGGAAAAGUCAUAGAAGGAAAUAUAUCUAGGAGGGAAUCCUAACAAAAGGUCUUUCAAAACUGCUACACCUUGCUUUGAAUGGUACCUGGUAUCUACAUUGAAUGAGUGUUUUUCCUAUGUCCCACCAUUAAAAUGAAUGGGAGUCUUGCAAAUUACAUAGAUUUUUUUUUAUAAUGUAUUAUUUUAUAAAUUUCAUAGAAUUAUUAAUUUAGUAUUUUAGCCCCAAAGUCCCUAAAAAACAUUAUUUGCUUGAGGGGUUCAUAUUAUCAUGUAUUAAUUUAUUGAAAUUCUACUAUUUUUUCCUUAAUUAAAAAGUGAAUUUUUUAUUUUAUUAUUUUAUUUUUCUUUAACAAAAAAAGUCACUUUUUCUCUUUUUUCUUUGAAGUCCUCUAACUUCAUAACACUCGAACUCAUUUUCUCAUACAAAAUAAAAUUAAUCAAAUUCAAAUUUGAAACAUUGAAAAUUAAUCAAUAACAUAAAAAUCAAUUAGAGUUACCUUUGUUUGAUUUGAAACAAAUUAGAGUUACCUUUGUUUGAUUUGGCUACCAUUAAUACUGCUACUAACAACUUCUGUGUCAUAAAUAGAACUGGCACAGGCAGCUUUGGUCCUGUUUUCAAGGUAACAUUUGAUUGUAAGACAAAGUGUGUUUCCUAUGAGACAAUAUGCAGGGCAGUUUGUCAACAGGACAAGAAGUAGCAGUGAAGAGGUUGUCAAAGAAUUCAGGACAGGGUCUUUAAGAGUUUAAUAAUGAGGUUUUUUUAAUUGCCAAACUCCAACACAAGAAUCUUGUGAGGCUUUUAGGCUGCUGCAUUCAGUUCGGAUUAUUUUAUUUUCGGUUUGAACUUCUCAACCCUUUAUAUCUCUUUGGAUUGGUUUGGGUACAUGAUCAUCCAUACCUUACUCAUGCAUCUAUAGAGUACAAAUAGUUAUAAUCACAAUUUACAAGGGUUGAAAUGAUGUGCAGAUCAAAACAGAAGAACGUUAUUGCCAUAGAAAAAGGCACUUUGACAUUGUUAUGGGGAUCGUGCAAGGACUUGUUUAUCUCCACCAAGAUUCCAGAUUUCAAAUCAUUCAUUGGAAUCUUAAGGCAAGCAAUAUACUGCUAGAUGAAAACCUGAACCCCAAAAUUUCAGACUAUGGCUUGGCAAUAAUUUUUGGAGGGGGAUGAAAUGGAAGCAAAAACAGAGUAAUUGGAACAUAGUAAGUUCUGUACUUCGACUUUAGAAAUGAUGUGCUUUUCCUUGAAAUAACUUAUAUUUGAAAUCUUCAUGCAGUGGCUACACGUCCCCAGAGUAUGUGCUUGAUUGCAAAUUUUCUGUUAAAUUUGAUAUCUUUAGUUUUGGUGUGCUUCUGCUGGAGAUUGUGGCUGGUAUAAAGAACAGGGGUUUCUAUCAUUCAAACUACCACCAUAAUCUUCUGGGACAUGCAAGUAGAAAGAAUGAAAAUCCACCUCUGUCACACAUACACAUCAAAGACGCAUGCCCUCUCUUGCUUUUCUGACAAAGUAUAUGGCUUCCAAUUGCUUUAGACAUGCUUUGGAAACAAGACAAGGCCUUGGAAGUAAUGGAUGCAUGUUUGGAGGACUCAUGUAUUGAAUCCCAGCUACUAAGAUGCAUACAAGUCGGUUUAUUAUGUGUUGAAAACCUCCCAGCAGAUAGACCAGCUAUGUCAUCUGUGAUUUUCACGUUGGGUAAUGAGGGAGCAACACUACCUUAACCUAAACAUCCUGGUUUCUUCACAGAAAUAAGUAUGAUCGAUACAGAUGCAACAACAGGACGUGAAGAGUUACCUUCAGAAAAUGUAGUAACCAUCUCAGUGCCAGAAGGUAGAUAAAGGAUUCAAGCACUAUGUCAGCAUGUGCAGGGUGCAUCCAAGGUUUAAUUCAUGUAGGAUAUAGCACUAGGCUCUUCAAUGGAUGGGCACCAAUUUCCUUAAGGUUGCAAAACUAGAUUAUAGCUUGGGCCCAAGGAGGCUAAGGUAUUGGAUUUACUGCACUAGAACCAUAUCUGCUGGGCUUCAUAAUCCUCUAAAUGUAUGAAUAAAAUGUGCUGGAGUGUGUCCUCUAUGGCAGCUCAGGGCAGUGUGAUUUGUAACUUAAAACUCACUAGUAAAACUUUUGAAAUUCAUAUUUUCACAGGAUCAAGUUGCGUAUACGCACAAGAAUGUGGAUUCUGCAGUGACCUUAGCUGAUUCGCUUUAUUUUCCUCAGAGUUUACAUUUGCAGGGCUUGUAUAGAUGCUGAGCUAUACAAAAAAUCUAGAUUUCAAAUCUCUCAAGAAUUUCUAGAGGUGUUCAAAAUCCUUUGAAAUGUCCUUGGGAAGUGCAAUGAGCUUGCAACAAAUUGGAGUGAAUGGAGAUAAACAAAUUGAAAAUCAAAUGAGAGGAUUUGAAGCUUAAACAAAUAAUCACCUUCACAUAAUAAGGUGUGAAUCUCUACUGUCUCUCUCAAGUUAGAAAUUAUGCUGUUGAGCAAUAACAAGGCAAUAUGCUUCUCCAAGAUUGUGUGCAAUUGAUUAAAUAAGUGGAAUAUAUACAUCUUUUAACUUCUUUUCAUCUUCCCAGAAGCUUCAAAAUUUUUUGCAAAACAUUAACUUGAAUACUGUACAGUGGCAAACCUUAGUGGGAGCUUUCAAAUUAUUUAGGAGAAAGAAUUCAAGAACUAUGUAACAGAUGAUUCACAUAGGUUCUUUCCUUAGGACUAACAUGGAAAGAAUUCAAGUAAAUGGAGAUGAAUGUUUAUCAAAUUAAUAGAGACAAACCUACCAAGCAACCAUUGAGAUGCUACAAGCUCAAUUCAGAUAGUUUGAUCUUGCAACAUUUUUUCCAAUUAAUUGAGGGGGCAUAAGAGAAGACACUGAUUUUACAUCUUAGUAACUUGUUUUUCAUUGGAUUUGGAAAAUUCCAAGUUACCCUGUUCAGACAAUUCUUCCAAUUGAAAUAAUUGAGCUUGCAUAGCACGGUACUCUGUUAAGAUUCUGGAGUCCUUGAAGACUGCAACCUGAUCCACUUGAUGCUGUGUCAUGGUUCAAUUAACUAGCUAGUCAUGCUUGAGAGGACCUGUCUGACAAACUCCAAGAAAAAUCUACAUUAGCAACUAUUUUAUUUUAAUUUUCUUCCUAUGUCUAUAAGCAGAUAGCAUAGAGUGAUUUAUGGUAUAUCUUCAAAUUAAUAAAUGGUAGUUUUUUCAUUUUUUUUCAUUCGUUCAUGUACAGAGUAUAUAUAGAGGGUAAUUACCAUUCUAAGAAUGGGAAGGAACGAUACAAGGAAAGAAUGAUAUAAGGAAAUAACAACUAAUAUCCUAAUAUCUCAACUUUCCUAAUAUCUCAAUAUUCUUAAUAUCUCAAUAUUCUUAAUAUCUCAAUAUUCAUAAUAUCUCAAUAUUCCUAAUAUCUCAACUUUCCUAAUAUCUAAACAUUCCUAAUAUCUCAACACUCCCCCUCAAGUUGGUGCAUAGAUGUCACACAUGCCCAACUUGUCUAAAAAUUUUGAGAACACUUGACUUGAGACAGCUUUGGUGAGGAUAUCGGCCAAUUGAUUUUCUGAUUGAAUCUUAGACAAUUCCACAAUCUUAUCAUCCAACUUUUCCUUAAUGAAGAAUCUAUCCACCUCGACAUGCUUUGUACGAUCAUGUUGUACUGGAUUAUGAGCAAUGUCACAUGCGGCUUUAUUGUCACAAAACAAUCGGAUUGGUUGCUUAGAUAGGUAACCUAAAUCCUGUAAGAGGAGUCUUAGCCAUAAUGCCUCACAAAGUCCUAGAGCCAUACCUCUAAAUUCCGCUUCUGCACUUGAAUGGGCGAUGACAUUCUGCUUCUUACUUUUCCAUGUCACAAGAUUACCACCUACAAAGGUAAAGUAACCAGAUGUAGAUCGCUUAUCAUCCACUGCACUAGCCCAAUCAGCAUCAGUAUAUACUUCUAUACUCUGAUGAUCAACAUUUUUAGCGAACAAAAUUCCCUUCCAAGGAACAUUCUUCAAAUACCUCAAAAUACGCAUGACUGCAUUCAUAUGUUGCUCUCCAGGAUUAUGCAUGUAUUGACUCACUACACUCAAUGCAUAAGCAAGAUUUGGACUUGUAUGAGCUAAGUACAUUAACUCCCCACAAGUCUCUGGUAUCUUCCCUUAUCGGUUGAUACUUGAUUAGGCUCAACACACAAUUUCAAACCUUCUUCUAUUGGUGUAUUAACAGGUUGACAUCCCAACAUUCCAGUCUCCUGUAAAAGAUCUAAGGCAUACUUUCUUUGAGACAGAAAAAUUCCUUCACUUGAUCGAGAAACUUCAAUCCCAAGAAAGUAUUUCAGAGGACCUAGAUCUUUCAUUUCAAAUUCUCUAAAUAGAUAAUUUUGCAAAGCUUUUCUUUCUUCAGGAUCAUUUCUUGUAACUACCAUGUCAUCCACAUAUACGAUAAGUGUCGUAAUCUUACCAUGUUGCUUUUUUAGGAACAAAGUGUGAUCUAAAUUACUUUGACGAUAGCCAAAAGCUCUCAUUGAUUUUGUGAACCUUCCAAACCAUGCUCUCGGGGAUUGCUUCAACCCAUACAAUGACUUCUUCAAUUUGCACACCUUCUGACAUUGCUUUUCUGACACCAUGCAUCCUGGUGGAAGAUCCAUGUAUACUUCUUCAGAUAACUCGCCAUGCAGAAAGACAUUUUUCACAUAGAACUGUUGUAAUGGCCAAUCUAGGUUUGCAGCUAAAGAUAGUAAUACUCGAACUGUGUUGAUCUUAGCUACAGGUGCAAAUGUCUCUGUGUAGUCAAUUCCAUAAGUUUGAGUGUACCCUUUUGCUACCAGUCUUGCUUGAAAUCGUUCAAUACUACCAUCUGCCUUGUUCUUCAUAGUAUAGAUCCAACGACACCCAAUUGGUUUCUUUCCUGGUGAACAUUUUACGAGUUCCCAUGUUUCAUUAUUCUGCAAUGAUUUCAUCUCUUCAUUCAUGACUGUUUUCCACCUUGGAUCAGCUAAGGCUUCCUGCACACUGUUAGGAAUAGCUACAAUAGAUAAUUGAUUUAAAAAUGACUUAUUUGAUUCAGACAAAUGAUGGUUAGACACAUAGUUGCUCAUGAGAUAUUUGACUUUGGUAGACAAUUCAGGUUCAUAUGUGGGUUUAGGAAUACCUCUAUUAUGACGGUGUGGUAACCGUUUCAUGAAUGGAUCAGGUUCCAAAUUAAGAACACCCUCAACAGACGACGAUUGGUUUGGUAUUUCAGUGAAGACACAUUCGAACCCAAAUUGUUGACCACUCAUAUCCAACUCACCCGCUUCUUGGUUCACUAGUUCAGAUUGUCCAAAUUCAUCCUCCUCAGAGAUAUGAUAAUCGUAAUCGAGAGUCUGAAUUUCCUUAUGGUACUCUCCCUAAAGUUCAGACUCAGAUGAANNNNNNNNNNNNNNNNNNNNNNNNNNNNNNNNNNNNNNNNNNNNNNNNNNNNNNNNNNNNNNNNNNNNNNNNNNNNNNNNNNNNNNNNNNNNNNNNNNNNAUGCAUGAGAAGUUAACUUGGUGCGUUGGUGUUUGUGUAGAUGCACAAAUUCCAUGCAACCAAAAACACGAGGAGGUAGAUUUGGGACGGUUGGGGCAACUAUGGCAUUAGUAAGAGCUUGGAGAGGUGUUUGGAAGUUAAUUAGGCUAGAAGGCACCCGAUUGCUCAAGUAUGUGGCAGAUGUGAUUGCUUCUCCUCAAUAAGAUAUCGGUAUUUUUGCUGCUAUCAAGGAAGCACGAACAACCUCUAAUAAGUGCCGAUUUUUUUGUUCAGCGACUCCAUUUUGCUAGGGUGUAUUGGAACAAGUAGUCUAAUGAAUGAUGCCAUGUUCUUUCAAAUACUUUUGAAGAUCAGAACUUUGAUAUUCUCCACCAUUAUCACUACGCAAAACCCGAACCUUUGCAUUGUACUGAGUUUCAAUCAUUUUAUGAAAAUUUUGAAACAACAAGUUCACUUCAUCUUUGGUCUUCAUCAAGCAUAACCAUGUCAUUCUGGUACAAUCAUCAAUAAAAGUAACAAACCAACGUGAGCCACUCAAAGUUGGGACUUUGGAUGGGCCCCAAACAUCAGAAUGUAAAACCAUAAAAGGAAGCGGACUUUUAUUCAAAAUUAACGGAAACGAAACACGAUGACUUUUAGCCAAUUCACAAAUAUCACAACGGAAACCAGAAAUAUCACUCUUUGCAAACAAACUAGGAAACAAUUUUUUUAAAUAACCAAAGGAAGCAUGUCCCAGACGUCGAUGCCACAACCAAAUUUCAGACUUUUUCUUCUCCUUCUCAGAUCCAUCUGCCAUCAAGGCUUGUUGCAACUUAUUUGAAUCCUUUGACUACAAGUCCAAGUAAUAGAGUUUUCCCCGCUUAAUACCCUAACCAAUCGUCUGUCUUGUUUGGAUGACCUUAAUCACACAAAAUUUAGGCCAAAAUAUGACAAUACAAGAUAAGGCUGCAGUGAUUUGAGAAACUGAAAAAAGAUUGUAAUAUAGAGAUGGAACAACUAAAACAUAAUCCAAAUUCAAAGUAUCAGUAAGAGUUAAGGAUCCUUCCCCAAUGACUGGGGUUGUGUUACCAUUGGCUGUGGAAACAAUUUUUUGUGAGGAAGGUCUAAGAGGUGAAACCUGUCUAGAAUCAAAAGUCAUAUGAUCUAUAACACCAGAAUCAAUUAUUGAUUCGUGUGCCUAGCUGGUGUACCUUGAGUUUGGUCCUCAGACAGGAGUAAUCAACAAAAUUUAUAACCUAUAUCACCAUGCACUAGGAUAGCCUUAGCUAAUAUAGCAUAGUGGCUCUAGGAUCGUUCACUGGGAAGGGUUUUCAACUUAUAACUGAUACCAAUUCAAAGUUGAAUUGGUGUUUUUUCAUUUCAAGGUUAGCUUCAAAAGAAAACAUAAACUUUUGUUGAAAAAUGAUUUGUUUUAAGCUAACUAAAAAGAAAGUAAUGGGAAUUACUUAUGAAGAAAACGUUCCUUGGAGUUUUAGGAUCACUGGGAUCAGGCUCCUCAUGCAAAAACAGAGCUCCGGUCACUUGAAUCUUUUCCUCGCAUUAAAGAAUUAACAUGUAGUUAAUUCUCUAACCGGUGUUGUACAGAUGCUUCCCUUUUAUGGAUUUCAGCACUAAUUCCUUCUUACUGAUGCAUCUUGCAAUGGCUCGUGCCUCUCACCUAGCAUUUGUCAUUCAAGGUGAUCAUUAACCUUGGACUUCCUUUCUCAAGCUCGCAAGAGAUAACUAAUGGAUGUCUCCUUAGAGUCCAAAAGCUUACCAAGUGUUGGCAAUUCUAGAAAUCCUACCUUCAAGUCACCUCCCAAAGGCUCGUAAAAGGUAAACUAGCGCAUCUCCAUGGACGGAGAUCAUUUGCCUUACCAAGUGUUGGUCCAGGUGAAUUGAAGGCGUUUUAAGUUAACUAAAAACAUAGAAACCAUAAACGGGUCACACUUUCUCUUCAUUAACAGCUGAAACAACAAAACUACCAAUUCUUGCACUCGGGGCCUUACCCAGCUACCUUAGCUCCAAGAGACAAAAAAGUCUAGCCACUCAUUCUCUGAGGAAACAUCCUCAGAGCUUGUUUGACUAGUAAGAAAAAUACAAUCAAAGUGAGUAGGUAAGGCAGAGCAAAGCUCUGUAUUUUACUUCCUUCAAAACUAUACAAAAAGUUGUGUCUCUGAGAACAAGCUCCCGAGAUGUCUCUGUAAUGAAAAUUACAAACAAUAUAUAUAUGAGGUUAUUCACCCUUUGUGCUUACUUAAUAACUAAGGAAUCUUAUAAUUGGUGGAUUACAAGGAGAGAAUGGGGAUUUAGACAUCAAAUAUCUGAAGCAAAAAAUCUAAAAAUAUCGAUCGCAAAUAUCUGGAAGCACUCUGGAGGAUUUCGCAGGUGUGCAAGAUGGCUGUGAAAUUUUACAACCUGAAGGACACCAUUUCGCAGCCAAAGGCUGAUUUCCCAGCCAUCACCUUGUGAUUUCGUAGCCUGCGGAAUUGACCUUCAGCUUGGUGUGAUUUGCUUGCUCUAACUUCUUCAUUUCAACUCCGAAUCGCACAGCAUUUGAAGCGUUGGAUUGCUGACUUCUCGAGCUUCGAAACAACAUAUAGUAUGCAUAAAUUGAGCUCUAGGAAAUGCUCCAAAAGUGUCCAACAAUUGCUAUCCUCUUGAAUUCUUCAUGUUAGAUUUCUCUCUUUGCUUUCCCUCCUUGUAUUCAUGAUUUGCUUAUGGGAAAGGACUAUAAAGCUUCAAAGCUUAGGUUCUUCAUGUUAAUGAGCUUUCAAUUGCUUUGCCAUGGAUUCCAUAGAACUCUCCUCAAUCUUGGAUUGCUUUGGUGAUCAAAAUACUAUCAAAAACACCAAAACUUACACAAUUUGAUUAGAAAUGAUUGCAAAGGUACUUAAUAUGCUAAUUGAGUUAAAAGGUAAUAACUACUACUCAAAAGUGUUUAAAAGAGUUAAUUACAAGCUAUCAAAUAACACUUUUUGAGUAGUAAUCAAUUAUCCAUGCACUAUUAAUAACAGGUGUAAAAGUAUUUAAAAACUUACCACCAUGAUCUAUAGCGGCUACCAAUGCAGAGGCUUUCUCAGCAACAUUAGCCUUUAUUUUUAUUUCGGCAAUAGUUGCAGUCGAGGUUUUCUUGGAAUCCUUCUUCCGUUGAUCACGAUUAUUGUCAUUAAUAACAAAGUGGUGAUAGCCUAAACAUGAUCUAAAGGUCUAUGGUUCAAAUCCUCGGUUCCUCAUUGUUUUCAUGGUCAUACCAAGAGUCGUUGCUUUGAAAUUGUGGGAUAACCAGACUGGUGGGAUCAGUCUUAUUGCAGUGAGUGCAUUUGAAGGUUGACUUAUCAAUAUUAGGGCUUGUCUUAGGAUGGUUGAUCACUGUUGGACUACCAUAGCAACAAAAUAUCCAGGAUGUCAAUUCCAUGGAUCUGAUACCAUCUUCAAAUUGAUAAAUGGUAGUUUUUUCAAUUUUUUUUCAUUCGUUCAUGUACAAAUAUAUAGAGGGUAAUCACCAUUCUAAGAAUGGGAAAGAAUGAUACAAGAAAAGAAUGAUAUAAGGAAAUAACAACUAAUAUCCUAAUAUUUCAACUUUCCUAAUAUCUCAAUAUUCCUAAUAUCUCAACUUUCCUAAUAUCUAAACAUUCCUAAUAUCUAAACAUUCCUAAUAUCUCAACACUAACUAAUAUAAGGAAAGAAUGAUAUAAGGAAAGCAUUCCUAAUAUCUCAACAGUAUAUCCUCUAUGGCACCAUGUUUUUCCAUAAACACAUUGAUGAUGAAUAAGCUUUCAUAAAUUAGAUAGGGCAUGAGCUUUCCAUGUGGCACUAUUUUUUUUUUUUUUUUUUGUGGAAAAUAAUUUAGUAUUUUAAGCUUUACUAUAACCCAUAAAACUUUUCCUUCAUUUGGAAAAAAUGAAUCUGAAGCUACCCAGAAGCUGACCUGAAAAGACAUGUCUUAAUUGUUCUUUUAAUUAUUAAUUUUAUUGUGGGCAUGACCUAGGUUGAGAAAGGUCCAAUAAGGCUUAGAAAAUUCAUGGAAAGAUAUAUAUAUAUAUAUAUAGAAGUGAUAGGUCAAGUUCAUUCAUCCGCAUGAAAAGGACCAGGGUCGACUUCUUAAUGGUUCGUACUUACUAACGUAGAAAUUAGGGAAGAAAUCACGACAGGUGCUGCUACCUAGGAAAGGUAACACCAUUGCACUUGACUAUGAUCCUCUACCUCAUGUUCAUGUGAUGAUUAUGACGUAGGUGACAACUGUUUUAUCAGAUUGGAAGUAUAGAAUUCCAAGAAUAUUGAAGACAAAUCAAGCGCAAAUGAAGGCGAAGAUUAACAGAUGGAUUAUUACUCACAAAGGAAACUAAGGGUGAAUCUUCCCAGACAACGAUACAGAAAUGAGUGAUGGGUGCUGCAGUCCCUGUUUCAAGGCGGCUGUAUCGCCUACAAUUAAUCAAUCUCUACAAAAAGUGAUUAAAAAGUGAAUUUUUUUAACAAAAAAAAAGAGUUCUUUUUUCUUUUUUUUCUUUGAGGUCUUAACUCUAUAACACUCGAUCUAAUUAAAACUAACAUGGAAAGAAUCCAAGUAAAUAGAGAUGGAUGUUUAUCAAAUUAAUAGAGACAAUCCAGACAUCAAGAUUGGCAUGCCAAGCAACCAUCGAGAUGCUACCUUCCAAGCCCUAUAACACAAACUCAUUUAAGAUAGUUUGAUUUUCUGACAUUUAAAAAAAAAAAUUCAAUGAGGGAACAUUUGGGAGGACUUUACAAUUUUACAUUUCAGUAACUUGUUUUUCAUUGGAAUUGGAAAAUUCCUAGUCACCCUGUUGAGGCAGUUCUUCCAAUUCUAAUGCUUGAUCCCUUAAACCUACAUAACACAAUACUCUGUUGGACUAAGACUGAAAGCUUGACCAAGUCAAAAACUGCAGUGUUGUCCUCUUGAUGCCGUGUCUUGGACAACUUCCAGGAAAAACCUACAUUAGAGAAAUUUUAGUAUUUUUUUUAACUAGUGUAUAGAAGUUUUCCUUCCAUUUGUGAGAAAUGUCAAUGGAGACCCAUAUUUUCUUCUCCAUCUUUUGUGCUUGGAUUUGUCUCUUUCCAUUGGAGUUUUGUAUUGCAGCUGAUUCGUGCCCAAUUGGUGUAUCAGCUGAUUCAUGUCCAGUUGGUGCUCCUUGAUUGAGGGAGUAAUCAACAAAAUUUAUAACCUAUUACACCAUGAACUAGGGUAGCAAAGACAAAGCUACUAUAGCAUAGUGGCUCUAGGAUCGUUCACUGGGAAGGGUUUUCAAUUCAUAAAUGAUACCAAUUCAAAGUGAAUUGGUGCUUUUUCAUUUCAAGGUUAGCUUAAGAAAUAAAACACAAACUUUGAUUGAAAAAGGUUUAGGUUUAAACUAACGGCAAAGGAAGUAAUGGAAAUUACUUAUGAAGAAAAACAUUCCUUGGAGGUUUAGGUUCACAGGGGAGGUUUCUCAUGCAAAAACAGAACUCCGGUCAUUUGGUUCAUUUCCUCUCAUUAGAGAAUUAACAUAUAGUCAAUUCUCUAAUCGGUGUUGUACAGAUGUAUCCUUUAAAUGGAUUUCAGCUCUAAUUCCCUCUCACUGAUGCAACUUGCAAUGGCUUGUGCCUCUCACUUAGCAUUUGCCAUUCAAGGUGAUCUUUAACUUUGGACUUCCCUUCUCAAGCUCGCAAGAGAUAACUAAUGGAUGUCUCCUUGGAGUCCAAAAGCUUACCAAGUGUUUUGGCAAUUCUAGAAAAUCCUACCUUCAAGUCACUUCCCAAAAGCUCACAAGAGGUAAACUAGUGCAUCUCCAUGGACGGAGAUCACUUGCCUUACCAAGUGUUGGCUCAAGUGAAUUGAAGGUGUUUUAAGUUAACUAAAAACAUAAAAAUCAUUAAAGGAUCACACUUUCUCUUCAAUAAUGGCUGAAACCACAAAGCUACUAAUUCUUGCACUUGGAACCUUUCCCAGCAACCUUAACUCUAAGGAACUAAAAGUCUAGCCACUUAUUCUCUGAGGAAACAUCCUCAGAGCUUGUUUGGCUAGUAAGAAAAUACAAUCAAAAUGAGAAGGUAAAGCAGAGCAAAGCUCUGUAUUUUUCUUCCUUUGAAAACUAUACAAAAGAUGCGUCCUCCCCUAUUUGAUCGAUAUAUGAUCGAUAUCUUAUGUAAAGGAAAUUACAAACUAUAUAUAAGAGGUUAUUCACCCUUUGUUCUUACUUAAUAACUAAGGAAUCCUAUAAUUGGUGGGUUACAAGGAGAGUUUGGGGAUUUAGACAUCAAAUAUCUAAAGCAAAAUAUCUCAAAAUGUCAGUUGGACAUAUCGGGAAGCUUCAAGAGAACACCGCGGCACUAUGCAGAAAAAUAUCUCAAAAUGUCGAUCGGACAUAUCAGGAAGCUUCAGGAGAACAUCGUGGCACUGUGCAAAAUGGUUGCGAAACUCUCCGGGUAAGCGCUAUCAGAGGAUUCGGAUAUGUCUGACCGGGGAAGUUGAAACGCCCUCCUCUCUCAUCCGGUGUCAACCGCCGGAUGUGAAACAUUCGGAUGGAAUGUCGGCGGAGAAGAAUUUCGGAUGUGAGACAUCCGGGUGGAAUGUCGGCGGAGCAGAAUUCCGGAUGUGAUACAUCCGGGUGGAAUGGCAGCGCGCUCCCCUAUCCGGACUCCCUUAGGGAGAAGCACACGGCACUCGCGAUCAUUACACCCUGGACGAUAGCAUAUCCUAUCAGGAUAUGUGGUCCGUAUCAUUGGCUAAAGUGCACAAGCCUUGCUACGUCAUUCCGAUAGCCUGCCACAGCUCACAUUCUGCCGCCCUCUGAUAGUGUGUCCGGACGCCCUGUCCGGACAUCUUUUGCCAUGGAUUUCAAAGAACUCUCCUCAAUCUCGGAUUGCUUUGGUGAUAAAAAAGCUAUCAAAACACCAAAACUUAACACAAUUUGAUUAGAAUUGAUUGCAAGGGUCCUUAAUAUGUUAAUUGGGUUAAAAUGUGAUAACUACUACUCAAAAGUGUUUAAAAGAGUUAAUUACAAGCUAUGAAAUAGCACUUUCUGAGUAGUAAUCAGCAGCUGAUUCCAUAAGGAUGGACGAAUCCAUAAGCCAUGGUGAGACUUUAGUUUCCUCAGGCCAAAGUUUUGAACUAGGCUUCUUCUCUUCUAGAAGCUCCAAAAACAGGUACUUGGGAAUAUGGUACAAGAAUACACCCCAAACAGUUGUAUGGGUUGCAAACAGAAACAACCCAAUUGUAGAUUCUUACGGAGUUUUAACCAUCAUCAACAAUGGCACACUUGUUCUUCUCAACCAGUCAAAGAGUGUAAUCUGGUCUCCCAAUUUGUCAAGGGUACUUGAAAAUCCAGUUGCACGGCUCCUAGAGACUGGAAAUCUUGUUCUCAGGGAUAAUAGUAAUGAAAGUUCUGAAAGCUAUAUAUGGCAGAACUUUGAUGAUCCAUCAGACACAAUGUUGCCAGGCAUGAAGGUGGGAUGGAACUUAAAGACUGGUCUACAACAAAAAUUGACAUCAGGGAGAAGUGCUGAUGACCCAUCCAUUG
rnacentral:lncRNA from 1 species